CCAAAAAACGUUAAGCUUUUCUCUGUAGCCAAAGGAAGGGUAGAGAAGAAUGAUAUAAAAACAGAAGCAAAAACAGUGCCUUCCACCUACAAACAGUCUUCCAUUCAAUUGUAGAAAAACCAAUUAACACAAAAUGAGAGAUCUCAGGGAAUUCAUGAUUAAUCCUACAUCAACCACAUAUGAUAUUAGCCUCGUACAUUGCGUGCUCGUUUCCCAAUUGUCUAUAUAAUAUGUAAUUACUAUUAAAUCAUCUAUGAGGACAAGGGAUCAAAAUUUUAGUAAAAAUGGGAUUUGAUUUUUAUAAGAAUAAUUUUUUUUCCUACUUUUAUUUUUAAAGCCAUUCGAAAAAUACAUAAUGGGUGGAAAUAAAAUUAAUUUUUCAUUUUUAUUCCCUAUUCCACAUUCCAAGUUAAAAUAUGAGAAAAUCAGUAUUAACCUAGGAUGAUAUAUUUGGUUGAUGCUGUCCAUGCUUUUUUCCGACGGAAUCCAGCCACACGAGCAAAGGGUACUGUUUUGUUUGGCUUUAAUUUGCCGACGUGAUCACUUGUCAUGUUUAGAACAUUGGAAUAGUAAAUGAGAAUGAAGAAUUCAUUUCUUUAUUCAUCCGGUCCAUUGGUUUACUCGUAGAAACGAGAAUAUUCCACUCUCCCACACUGUAUUGUAAUUUGUAAUUCAUCUUCCAUUCCAUUCUUGUUCUCAUUCCCAUUCAAGGUUGCUAAGUUUAGAUAAGAAGCUAAUAUUCAUGAAAGAUCUCUAUCAAAUAUAUGUAGUCUAGGCCUUGAUAUCUGAAGUUGUUAUUUGUUACUUGAUAUUUUUCGAGCUUUGAAAGUCCAAGAAGAUGAGAAGCUCAGAAGGAAACGCAUCAAACUAAUUGAAGAGACGCAGCAACACUGAGAAAGAAGAUAAUUGGCAGGAAAGACAAAGGGUAAGUUGAAAUGAAAUUUCCAACACCCAGAAGAGAUUAUUUGUUAAGCUGAUUAUAUUGGCUUUCUACUCUAUAUACCAACAAAAUUCUUGAACCGUUUGUAUUUGAUUCAAUAAGUCUCUGAUUGCAAUUGGAUGGAAAUUCUGAAGUGCAUGUAAUAAUUGUUAAUUAAACCUUAACACAAGUAGCAUGUGGUAUUUUGGAGAUGAAGUCCAGUUGGAGAAAAUGCAGGGCAAAAGUGAGCCUCUUUGUCCAAGCCUCUGAAGUCAGAACUAGCCUCGUGAGCCGAAAGAAUGGACCCUGAGCAGGGUUUCUCGAGGGGGCUACUCAGAUUUAUCCUCUCACAAUAUCUGUCUAAAAGUAGUAUACUUCCAAUAUUUUUUGGUAAUCCUAUACUUAACCAGAUGCAUAAUCCCAAAACCCAUACUGCCAUGUUGGUCAACGCCAAGAACUGCAUAAAAUCCUUCACACUAUCUACUCCAAUUUUUCACUAAAUUCAUUCAACAGGCUUCAAUAGUGAGGUUAACUCAAGCAUACAACAAUAAGCAAUUUAACCUUACCUCAAUAGAUCGAAGAAAAGCUGAGCUGAUGCUAACCUGCAUUCUGUGACAAAGGCAAUGCUCAUCUCCAUUCAUGAACUGGAGGAUAUAAGUAGUCAUUUAAUUGCCCCCAGUAAACAUUUUCUUGAUUUCCCAUUUAAUUUGGAAGUCAGAAUAUGAAACAUUACGACCUGCUACUUUCCAGUCUGCACAAAACAUCUGAUUGCUAUUUACUUUCAUCAAUAACUUAGAGGUAGAAAUCAAUACAGAUCUGAAUCACCAAUUAACUUUCACCAAUGAACAAGGUCAGAAGUAGUGCAAUAACAAGUGAUACUUAAGUUGGCUGAAAAAAAGUCAGAUCUGAAUAGCCUAUAUUCACCUGUCUGACUCAUUGCAGAGCAAUACAGAAAAAACCAAUGCAAGAAAUUUUAAAUGACACAAGCUUAGUUGACCUUGAGCAAUAUAGAUUACAGAUUUAGCCAUUAAUUUGAAGGAUGUGAACCGCAUUUUGACAAAUAUGGAAAGUAGAAGAGUACAUAUAUAGAUCAACUAAAUCUGUAGAAGACAGGAAGAUAACUCUGCCAGACUAGAUUUCUCAAUGAAACAGAAAGCAAAUAGGAAUUCCAUUUGAGCAGGAAAUCACAUGCUAAAAAAGCUGAACAUAAGAAACAGAAAUCCAAAAUGCCAUAGAGCAUCAACUUUGCAGUCUGUGAAUUCAAACAAGAAUGUAGACUUCAAAACAAGCAAGUAUGAGCCAGAAUAGUCACCUUAAUAUACUGUUGAAUAAUCGGAUGACCUAUAUGUAUUUUCAGCAUAAAAUAGACAUGCCCUUACCUUGCAAAAAGAACCACGAUUAUCUAAGACAGAACAAGAUUAAGCUGACUGUGAGUUGCACCCAAGGCAUAACUAGGCUGGUAUGGGUUUAGGCAGAUAUGGCAUAUCAAGAGAGGGUAGCAUGACAAACCAAAAUCAACAACAAACAGGAGAGUACAUGGGUUAUGCUGAAAGGUUUGCCUGAUGAUAUUAGCACUUUAUGCCCGCCCCAUUGCAUACAGAAAGAGGCAGUUGGCAAGUCAGACUCAAUUUUGUAAGCUAGAACUAAAUUCACAUGCACCAACACCCAAAUGCAGUAUACAUUUUUGGACAAAGUAACAGGCAAUUUUUCACUUGGUUUCCUUAGAGGAUGAAAUUAUCUGCCAUUUCCCUAGUGCAUGUGGGCACAGAACAAUGUAAACUUCUUAUGCGUCUUGAUUCUUUCAUUUUUUUCUUAUUAACAUCCAGAAGGAUUUCUCAUGAUCUGCAGUUUCAACCUAAUGUCUUCAAGUUCUAAUGGAUGAGAAAGGCAUUAUGCUUUAGAUCCAAAUUAUAAAGGAAGAGUAUCAAGGCGUGGGUCAUCUCCCAACAAAUGAAAGUUUGAGAACAAUUGUGUAACCUACAAAGUCUUGUCUUUCCCAGUUCUUAUUUGUUGCUUUUCAGACUAGGCAAGAGACAAGUGCAAAAGGACAACAUUGAGCAUCACACACACACACACAUAAGUAUAGGUGUAAGCACAGGGUAGCAAGACUCUAGACCCUUAGGGAUCUUAUAGGAACUUAGUGGCUACAUCAAUAAGAUGCAAAAGUACACAGCUGAAAGAUUGGUUACAUUGCUAAUACAGAGGGCAACAGAUCAGAAGCAAAAAUUGGAAAUUUAAUGAUCUCUGUUGGGAAUCAACAAAAUUAAAAAAUCAUAUCAUCAUAUGCUCACUUUCUUUCAUAUAUGUUAAAUACCAAGUUUAUAAAAAGCUAGGAGAACCUGCCAGCAAGUCUUUCAAGCAAAUCCCUGAUCUCUAUUAAUUAAAGGUGAUACCUAACGCAGCAGCUAAAAAUACUUCAUAAUUUGAAAUGUGUACCAUCAACCACAGAAACAAGAAUACCAUUAUACUGUACUACUUGAGGAGAGAGCAUCCCAGUCCUUUUUCAUCUAGAAAGGUAUCAUUUUUCCCCAAAUUUUCUCUUCUCAUCACUAGCUUCAUUCAUCAAGCUUAGAAAUAUUACCAUCACAUUAUCCAGACAAAGUUCCAUAGUUCUCAUCUUGUAGCAAUUUAAUUUUGUUACUCGAGGAACAUGUUAGUUUGCUUUAAUUUAAGCAAUGGUUUAUCAAUUGAAAAAUCCAUAUACAACAAUUUUUCUUGCUUAAAUUAAAGUGCUUUUAGCCUUUUAUAUUUUUUCAAUGGUACCAAGUGCAAGCAAACAGCAACAGCUAGCUUGCAUGAAAGAUAAUGAAGCAAACAUGAAGCAACAACCCAUAAUUCAACAGCCACAUAUGGCAAAAACCAAAUAGUAAUUUGUUAGCCCAGAAUUAACAACAAAAAAAUAAGAUGACAACGGGCGUCAUAAGCGUUCAAAACCCAUCCACCAUUGUGAGUAUGAAAAGAGGAGAGCCAACAAAGGGAGCAUAAGCAUAGCAUGUCAAAAAAUGUGAAUCCCUUGCCAAAGAAUGACAUCUAAUUGAGCAACCGAGGGAUUUUUCCUCUAAUAAAUUAUUGUUGGUCAGGCAAACUUUCUUCACAGGUGCAGUAAUUCCCAUUUCACUGUUACUUUAUUAAGAAUUUGUCUCUAGCGGCAGAAAUAUGUUUUAUCCGGGAAAAUUUGCUUCAAGGAAAAAUUGGACCAAGCCUCACUUUCAAGUUCCAAAACUUUAUAUAGGCUAAACAACAAUUAAAAGAAACAAAAAUGUGAUCCAGGGCAGUGUCUGAUCUAAUGAUAUCAUAUAUCAAAAUCAACGGGAGAAAUGAUUUGAACAAGUAAAUAAAAAUAUUUGAAUAUGCACUAAAAGUGCAUCAGAAGGAAUUCCUACAAAGACGAGAGAAAGAUAAAUCUGAAAAAAAAAAAGUACAGGGUAUUCAAGAUUCCAUCUCUACUAAAAUACACAAAUUGGCUACAAGCAUCUCAUGCAAAUGGGAAUCCUGAAUUCCUAAUAUCACGAAGAAACAGCCACAAUUAACACAGGAAAUGGAUAGACUAAAUCACAUACCGAAUGAACCCACAUUCAUCCGAAGAUCUUAAAAAAAAGGCGAAACCCAUGAUUUCUUUCGCCUCUAAUUCCAAUUCCUUUCAGUCCCUUGGAUUUUAUUUUCUCCGACUUUUCUUCUAAAUUAGCUAUGCAAUUACGCCUCAGAAUCGCUCUUCUUCCCAGCCGCUUCCCCUUCCCUGUCCUCCAACAACCUCCCGGCUUCCUCAUCUGUCUGGGUGGUCUUCUUCUGAGCCUCCUUCGACUUCAAUGCCUGCAAUUUUGAAUGAUUGUAAUACCCAACUCCCAAAAAUGCCAAACCGUAUCCAAACAAAUUGAUCGGCGUCACCGUGUCCUUUAUCACCGACCAAGAAAAAGCAAUCAACAGCCAAUCCUUCACCACUCCGGCCACAUUCAUCGUCAAUGCCGAUGUCUUCCCCACAAGCAAAAAUACAGCCAAAUUCAAGGCAAAUGCGCAGAAGGAAUUGGUACCGAAUAUCACAAAAUCAAAUUGAAAACUCGAAUUGUUCUUCAAUAUGGGCAACUCCACGAAAAUCCAGGGCACCAACAAAAACACCAAACAACAAGGUGCAACGUAGUAGAGAGAAGUGAUGGGGUUGAGCGAAAUGCCCUUGCUGGUCAACAAAAUCUGGAUCAAGACCAACCGAGUCGCCUCAAAGGCAACCGCACCCAGCUGAAGACAAACCCCCCAGGAAUCAAAUCGGGCCUCGCCGUAGGCGGCAACGGCGACGCCGAGAGAGAUGGAGAGCAUGUUACACAUGGUGUCGGACUUGAAAGCCUCUUUCUUGAAGACGACGCCGAUGGUGUAGACGGCGACGGGCAUGAGGGCUUUGAGCAUUUGGAUGAAGGAGACGGAGAGGUAAAUGUAGGCGGAAUUGGAGAGCCAGAGGCUAAGGGAGUAGAGAGCGCCGAUGGGGACGACGGAGGAGAUGUAGAGCUGACGAGACAUUGAGACGGGCUCCACAACCUUGAGGAUGCGGAUGAGGAAGAAGGCGAUGGAGGAGCAGAAGGCCAUGUGGAUGAGGGUUAGGGAAAUGGGGAAAGGCCAAUUGUACAUUUUGGGGUCCAGGAUAUACUUGUUGUAGACAAUGACGGUGAAGCUGAGGAAGAUCCAGAGGCCUACGUAGGCGUACGAAAGGAGGAUCUUCCUCAGGAGGCCGUCCGAGAUGGAACCGCCGUCUUUCGCCAUAGCUGAGGACCAGGGGGUGCGCAGGAUACACGGAGGGGGCAGGGGGGUGCGCAGGAUAGAGCAAGGUGGGAGGAGGAGGAGGAGAAAGGUGGCGGUAGAGUUGUUUGGUGCGGUGUGAGAAGGGAAACACGCUCUGGUUCAAGUAGACGUUAUAUGGGCCCCAUUUUUGGGCUCAUACAUGGGCUACGGCCCAUUAAGAAAAAAAAAAUCCUUAAGUGGUUUUUUCUUGUCGGAAAGAAACACAAAAUUUUUUGGAUUUACAUGCGAAAAAGAAAAUAAUAAUAAAAUAAAAUAAAUAAAAGAUGGAAGGCGCAGGGUUGGCGAGACGGAGUUGUGUGUCACAUGGGCUUUGCAGUUUUGCAUGGUUGACCCCCCUAUGCACGUGACGUCUGCGUGGUUUUUGCCCCACUUUCCAACCAUAACUGAAAAUUUUAUUUAUUAUGUAACACCACUUUAUUUCUUUCACUCUUUCUUUUCUUUUUCUUUUUUUCCACAAAAAAAUUAUAUCAAUGGAACCAAUAAUAUAUAUUUAGGUAGUAAAAAAUAGAGUUUAAUGUAACUCUAAGCUAAAGCAAAGUGCAUUUUACCCAUGAGAUCUGAAAAUGGAGACAAAAUCAUACAAGCAAAUCUCAUCCCCUAUGGAGUUUGGGGAUUGCAUGCCUUCUGAUUUGGUGAAACCUAAAUGAAAUGGGUGAUUGCUUUAACAACACCCAUGAUACCAAGUUUUACUAGUAGACAACCCAUGUUCAAAAUUCUUUGGUCAUUAAGGUUUUUUGACUUUUUUUUAUUUAUUUAUUGGAAAUGUGAUAUAUAAUUUACAAAAAUUAAAAAAUAUUUGUCAAUUAUAUUUUAUGACAAGGCUAGUGAGACCUUUUGACCAAAAAGUGGCUACUUGGUCACAGUGUAAGGCAUUGAAUUUUUUAUUUUUUUUAAGAGUAGUUUAAUAUUUUAAUUUGCUAGUUUUAAUAUCUGAAUAUUUGUGUAUUAUAAUAUAUAUAUAGUGGUGUGGAGGCCAACCCAAAUCAUUGAUCACAAUCUCCAUCCAAGGUUGCAUUCAAAAAGAGAAAAAAAGGGUGGGUUUGGUGUGCAGAAUGGUCCACUAUAAUACCAAACCCAAGCUAUGAAUUUUGUCAUUUUCACAUAAAGUCAACAGUCAUGCCCUCCCUCCACUAAUGCCUCCUCACAUAGUAAGUGGUUUAUUUAAAUAAAAAUAAAAAUAAAACAAAUUUUAGAAAAACUAAGGCCUUAUUUAAAACUAUUCUGAAAAAUAGUUUUUAAAAAUUAUUUUAUAAAAUAAAAGUUUGUUUGAAAAUUUAAAAUAUUUUUAACCUAUUUUUAAAUAUGUUUUAAAAAUAAUUUUUAUGUCCAUAACUUUAUUUUUAAUCAUUACAUAUGUUUGUAUAAUUAUUUUCUAAAAUAACUCUUAAAAAACGACUACAAACAAUGAAAAGAUAUUCUCUAAAAACACUUUAUUUUUUGUUUUCUAAUAACAAAAAAUAAAAAACAGUUUUCUGGUUGUCAAAUAUGUUUUUUAGUUUUUUUUUUCUAAAAAGUAUAAAAUUGUUCUUGAAAACAGUUCUCAAAUAGGGUCAAAGGGUGUGUUUCGCAAUUGUUUUCGAAAAGUUUUUUGUUUUUUUUUUAAAAAAAAAACUAGAAAACAAGUUCAACAACAAAAAAAAAAGUGUUUUCUAUUCUUGGGAAUAGAAAAUAAAGUAUUUUCAUAAAAUAUCUUUUAGUUGUUUUAAGGUGUUUUUUAAUAACUGUUUUAAAAAAUAAUUAUACAAAUAUGUAUAAUGAUUAAAAAUAAAAUUCUAGAUAUAAAAAUUAUUUUUAAAAAUAUUAAAAACAGGUAAAAAAUAUUUCAAAUUUUCAAACAAACUUUUAUUCUAGAAAACAUUAGAAAACCGUUUUAAAAAACAAUUACUAAACAGAGCCUAAGGCUAUCUUUGGUUCUCGUAAAAUUUGGUGAAAAAUGUGAAGGAAAAAGAAAAGUAAAAGAAAAUAAAAAAGUAAAAAAAAAUAAAAAAUAGAUUUAAUUCAAUAAAUUAUUUUUAUGUAAUUCUCCAUGCUCAUUUCACUUAUUUAUAUUAAUUAUAGCAAGAUUAAAUUAUUUAAAAAUACAUAAAUUUCUAACUAAUUUUAAUUAUAUUAUAUUUUCUUUUGUAUUUUUCAUAGUGAAAUCAAACAUAAGAAAAUCAUUUUUUUUAGUAUUUUUUUUUCUUAAUAUUUUUCGGAACCAAACAUAGGGUAAGAUAUUUUGUUUAUUGAAAUAAAACAAGAUUUUUUUUUUUAAGAUUAUGGUAUUGAAAAUUAGGAAAGGUUUUCAUACAAUGAGGAGACUCAGAGGGAAAGAGGGAGGCCACCAAGUUUGUAUUUUGAUUUUUCAGGUCCACUAGCAUAAUUGAUUAGGUCUGUUGCCACCCCAAAACCAAAUGCCAAUUUGGACCAUAUGCUUACUUGACCACUAAAUUAAUGGGUUCUCACCCAAUACUGCUUUUUUAAUUACAUAUUCUAGUUGAAUUCUUGGACUUAGUCCAAUGAUGGAUAAGAGGAUGAUCAAUUCCACAAGCAAUAAACAAUCUCAAUUUCCUAGAUGGAGCCUUAUAAUGUUCAAGUUCUGAAUGGGCAAGAAUGGGACAAUUUACCAACUACUUCAUAAUUCUAUCUGGUGACGGCAGAUAAAAAGAAAAAAAGCUUAAUCAGUGCAUAUGAGAUUUGAAGCCCCACAAAAGUAAUCCCUAAGUAAGAGCCUUGAUGAACUCAUAUUUUGAUGUUAAUUCAGAUUUAAAUAGAAGAUUAUGUUGUAAACAAAGCUUAAUUUAUAAGUUCAUUGGCCAUUCCCUCAUCUCAAGCUCCCACAUUAGGUCAUCAUUGUUAACUCGGUCAUAUAUAUGAGAAGAAAUAAGAAAAAGAUAAGAAAUUUUAACGUGUUUACGCAUCAAUGUAAUCUCUACAUAACACUCAAGAAUCUACUAAUUAAAUAAAAAUAGAAAGGUUACAAUGUUUAAGCAUCAAUGUAAUCUCUACAUAACACUCAAGAAUCUACUAAUUAAAUAAAAAUAGAAAGGUUACAAUGGUGAAGGCUCUCCUUCUCUCAAUCAGGGCUGCACACAUAUUUUUUUUAUUUUUUUUAUUUUUAAACUUCUGAAUGAAACUCUAAAUUAUAAGAGAAUUAAAUAAAAUAGUUAGAAGAGCAAACUUGUCAUUUAACAAAUAAAAAGUUGAACAUAUGUCCCCUGAAAGUUUUUCACUUUCUUGCCUCCCUGUGAUUUCAAGGCCACAAACCCUCAAGGUUCCUUUUAGUGCUUAUGUUUCAAGGACUUUUUCUUUGUCUCUCAUGCUGCAAGUGUCUUCUUUGUCAUAUUGAGCUUUUUCAGUUUUUAAAAGUUUUAGUAGUGUGUAAAGGCUAGGCACUGGAAAUGGGCCAAGUCUGGGGAACCUCCAGGGUGGCCCCUAAUCUGUUUGGAGUCCUGGACCAAGAAAUAGUGAGACAGAUUCAAGUCAGAUGGAUAAGGGAAAAUCAAUUACCCAAUUCAGCUUGAGAGGUGUAGGUCAAAGACUACCACAUGAGUUCUUAUCUAGCCAUCAGGCUAGCUGAAUAUGCCUGGGCAUACCAUAUUUAAAUCCUGAUAAGGUAUUAGAGUUCUCGAGACACCAUCUCAUGUAGGAGAUCAAAUGUACCAACAAUUAGCUAAAUCUAAUAUAUAAAGUUCAAACACUCAGCUUCUCUUGAUCAAUUUUCUUCAAUUUCUGAAAAGCUUCUGAGAUAGUUUUGAAGUAAGUCAAGCAGCUGAUCCACCAUGCAUCUACUAAAUGAGAAACGGGUUGUGUUUUAGAAGUCAUUAUUUGUUGAAUCAACAUGAAGUUUCCACAUAAAAACAUUGUCUAUAAAAGUUUAUAAAAAGACAUCAUACAUAAAUACUUCCUCAAAGUUAACAAGUUACAACCUAAUGAACUGCAGAGAUUUGGAAGGCAUCGAUUUAAACAUAUAGUUUCAGGACAUGGGGUGGCUGCACUCUAGCUUCUCCCACUCCCUGGAGCGGGCAAGAAGGUGCAAGAGACGGAUCACAAUGCUGGACAUGUCUGGACGUUGAUUCCAGUCAUCAUCUACGCAGUCCUUGGACAAGAGAGCCAUCUCAAAAGAAUUCAAACCAGAAGAAAAUGGGUUAAAGAUCCACUUGGGUGAUUGUAUGGUUCAAAUACAUGCAUUCAUCCUAAGCCUUAACCAAGCUGCAUUGGCAAUCCAAGCUAGACCCUAAAAAAAUCAUGGCUGCCCCCUACAGUCUGGCCUGCUCAUGACCAGACUGUAAUAAGUAAAUGCAGUGACUGAGACUGUGGAGUUUUCUUUAUUUCAAGGAGAACCCAGGUAGUUUUUUAGAAGGUAAGAAGGAAAAGGGAAAAUGGGACAUACCUGAAAAACUGAAUCUGCAUGAUAGUGAAUGAGAUUUGGAUCAAUGCAUUGCAUGAGGGAAUCAUGACUGUCAUUUAAAGCUGAUAGCAGCUGAAACGUAUAGGAUUCACAUAAAGCCAUAUUUAGCAAAAACUAAACAUGAUCUUAUAUCUAGAGGCAAUCAAUAUCUUGUAGCAAUUCGACAGAACAUUGGAAUCUGAUGUGGACUUACAUAUUCCACCAGAGAGCGAUGUUCGAUGUACUGAUCGUUUCCAGGAUUUGCAUCUCUACUAAGUGCUGGUUGGCCAGUAAGUAGUUCCAUAAGAACAACUCCAUAAGCAUAGACAUCACUCUUUGUGGUCACACACCCGUCACGAAUGUACCUGGUUUUCCCCAAAAACAAAAAUUAUACCUGAAGGAUCUUAUAGUCAGAGUGCUAAUUUUAGAUCAUCACAUUACAUGACACUGAAAGAAUCAACUUCUACUACUUGCUAUUAACAGAAGCCAACUCACUCAGGAGCAAGAUAACCAAAUGUGCCCACAAUUCUAGAUGCUGCAGCUGCUGAGUUUGGAGAAUGUUCAAAUAGUUUCACUAGUCCAAAAUCUGCGAUCUGAUGGAAAGAAAUCGACCAUAAACAACAAGAAAAAGCAGAAACUUCCAACAAGACUAAACUCUAUGAUGACUAGUAUUCAAAGGCUCAUAUGCUUUCUGUCUAGGCUGCUGAUUCAGGGGAGAUAUCCAGCUAAAUUGCAAUCUGAAUGACUUAAGGGCCUGCUUGGUUGUAGAAAUAAGAACUGUUUUUAGUUCAAUGUUCAACUGCACAUAUUGGACAGAAAAUUCCAUUUCCUAGGUAGUAUAACUUAUAAGAAUAAGAUUCAUUCUGUUCUUAAUCCCGUCUUCAGCAAAUACUAUUUCAGCUUGGAAAGAAUUACCUCUAGAAUUGCAAUAAUAACAGUCAUGACAAAGAAACUUUACAAAUGAUGUUAAGGGUUAACUCACACACCUUUGCCCGAAAAUUGGAAUCUAAGAGAAUAUUGCUUGUUUUCACAUCUCGAUGAACAUAAUAUGGUUUUGUGUGCUCAUGUAUAUACUCAAGGCCUCUUGCUGCAUCAAGAGCAAUCUGAAGUCGUGUGGUCCAUUCAAGAGGUUUAUAACCUGUAAAUGUAUCAAAGCUUGGCAUGUAAAGACAGCAAGAAUUUUUUGAAAUAAUGCAUAAGUUGAUUCCAUCUCGGGAAAUAUAGAAUUGGUUCCAAAGGUAGAAAAUGAUCAAAUACUCAAUGUUAAAGUAAAAUUAGGAGUCAUCUUUUAGAACCAAUUCCCAUAUUAACUUUCCAUAGUAGAGAAAGCAGCCUGAGCUUCAUGGCCAAUGGCCAAAUGAAUAAUUUCCCAGGAAUGAAAUAAGGAAAGAAUUUGACAUUUAUUUGCAGUAUAAAUCAUUGACCAGUCUGUAAAUUCAAACCUCUUGCAGUGGGUCUAUGCAAAUGAUGGCUCAAUGCUCCAUUUUGGGCAAAUUCAUAUACUAGAAACAGAGAGUCGCCACCACCCGCAUAUCCAAUAAGCUUAAUCUAGUAGUAAAAGAAGACCAGAAAAAGAGGCAUCAAAAUUUGAACAUCAGAUGUUUAUUCAAAGAGCAUGGCAUCUAAUGAGAACAGAAAUGAAUCUUUCAUCAGAUGAAAUGUGACAGAACAUACCAAGUUGGUAUGGUGAACUCUUGAAAGAAUAUGGAGCUCAGAGAAGAACUCUUUUGACUUUGUCUCUUUCAUUUGCUUGAUGGCCACAUCCUACAUGAAUAUAGGAAGAACCAAUAAUAGGAAAAUAUCCGCUAGUAUGUAUUGAAUUUAUUCCAACAAAAAUUCAAUAUAUCAGUUGUCAAAAGAAACUAAUUCGUCAGACUUACAAUUCCUCUUAAUUUUCCAAGGUAAACAGACCCAUAAGAUCCUUGGCCAAUCUUUAAAGACAUACUGAAGUUGCAAGUUGCAUCACAAACUUCAAUGUAGGAGAAGACAGUGGCUUUAUCUAAAUUGAAUGAUGAAGCCAUGCUUUCUUCAGAUUCUGCAGAAAGAGGAUCCCAUGACUUAUCUCAUAUGGUAACAGAUAAAAAUAGUCUCGAAUAUGGUUUCACUAAAAUGACCAAUUCUGUUUUUCAACAAAGAAAUAAAAUUCCCAGCAAUGAACCGUCUUUACUUUUAUGGAAAGAGCAUGUGGUAAGAUAACAAUGCAAGCAUUCAGUUCUCCUUGAAUAAGCUUUUGCUUGUCGAAUUCGGCUCCUCUUAUAGCAGUAACUCCACACAAAACUCAUGACUAACAAUGUCACAACAGAAACAGCAGCCAAAGUGAUUCCAACUAUCAUACUGAUUCGAGGUUUUGGAGUUUUCUUGACCUUUGAAACUGAAAAAUAGCAUAAAGAAGAACUUAUAUUCAGAAAGAUCCAUAUCUAAACAUCAAAAACCGAAAAAGAACACAUGCAUACACACACAGGCCUCUUGAAUACUGUUUCUCAAUGAACAUGAAAGAAGUCCUCUGCUCUAUGACUCAAUAGUGAAUCAUUCCAAACAAAAGAUUUUGUAAUUGGUGUUUUGAAUAAGAAGGAAACUUGUAACCAACCUUUAUUUUUAUUCAUGAGAAGAUUUUCAAGGCCUCCUAUUGAGAAACGUCCAUGAAAAAACAUCCAAGAAAUAAUUAGUGGUUGAAGAAAUAUUUUUAUAAUAAAUAAUGAAUCUAAAAACCUUAAAGUAACAAAAAAGGGACAGUCAUCUCUCCUACCUGGUUCUGGAAUGAAAAUUACAUCUCCAUCAUGGAUAAGACCUGAAUUAUCAAUCCCAUUCAACUGCACCGUCUGGUUUAAAUCUGCACUAAACCGAGAACAAAUGGUAUAAAGCGUAUCCCCAUGUUUAACUCUAUAGGUUACAAUCACCUUAUUAUCCUUGGAACAACCACACAAGAGAUCUAAAGUAACAUUCUGUGAGGAAAUCAACAUUUUAUCAGUUUUCUUCACCACAAAUGACCCAAAACUUGAUGAAAUUCGCUCCCAUGUAUCACCAGGUUGGACUGUGUAAUCCAUGUGCCAGGUGAAUGCAGUGUGGCCUGCUGGGCAGCUGCAAUUCACAUUAACCAGGUAACCCUCGACGGUCUGUCUGACUAAAUUUGAAUCCACAUGGAAUAAAGAAGCUGCUGCUGCUAGGGUUUUGGGGGAAUUUGGAACAUAGUACAGUGAAGCAGGACAAGAUUGGGCUAGAGAUACAUUGCAUGGCAAGGAAGAUACAUGAAAACAGUGGCCUAUGCAAGCAAGAAGUGUAAAGAUCAUAAAGGCCACCAGAAUUUUUUUUAUUCCAGGAAACAUAAUGCCCAUUUUCCACUUAUUGAAUUUACUAUUUCAGUAUAAAAAGGAACAAGAGUUGGAGAACAAACAGAGCCCAAUAAAAAUAAGUUUAAAUUGAAAAGGCCAACUACAUUAGCCCCUGAUAUCAAAUUCCCAACAGGACAACCACAAGAAUUUUUCAAGGGAAAUUUUCUUUUCUUUUCUUUUUCUUCUCUUAUGGCUCCAUUUAGCAUGAAACUCAUCCAAAACUCAACAUUUUUUUUGAAGUAGUUUCAGCACAAAAGGAUAAUAAGUAACAAUAAUAAUAAAUUUACAACUUAAAUUUAGUUUCUGCACCCAAAAACACUUCACCCGGAAAAAAUUUCCCUUGAUACAAACAGAAUUAUAAGUCAAUGCAAACAACAAUUUCAGCAAAAACGACCCAGAACUGAUAAAAGAUAGUUAUGUUAAAUUAAAAUUUGAAAGUAUUGAAAACAGAGGUGGCUAUGAACAACAACGGAACACAGAAAGACAGUAAAAACCAUAGAAACGAAGAAAGGUGUAUAAGAGAAAAAUGUGAGGUGAUGGGUGUUAAGGAAGUGGAGUUGUUCCUGACAUUUCAGAAGAGAACAUAAGAGAGGAUCCAAAUUUUCCAGAAAAUGCGGUUUAAAACAGCCACUUGGACUACACUGGGUUUGCUCUCUCCAUGAAACCCAUGUCAGCGUACCCACGCCGGCUUUGUUUCUUCUUGAGGACUCUGUUUGUUUGGAGGGAAAAUGUGAAAAGCUUUUCCAUAUAAAAUAACUUCCAAUAAUAUUUUAUUAACUUUGAAAAGUCAUUUUGUAUUUAUUAAGAUUCUAAUCAAUCAUUAAAUUCAAUUCUUUCUGCCACUGAGUUUGAAAAAAUCACAUUCCUUAAAACAAGAAUCUCUGGGAAAAUAAUGGAAUAAUCAUCUCUAAAUCUAUCAGCAAAAUCUAAUUUAAUAUUACAGUGUAUAUCAAUUAUUAGAAUUUUUUUUUACAAUAUGUGAAUUCGCUCAGAAACAAUUGAUGACAAGAAAAUAAUACAAAGGAAGCAUCAAACAACAUGGAUCCCAUUUCAAUAUAUCUUGUAUAGAUUUUCACAGGCCGUAUUGGACUUCUGUCUCAUCUGCCAUCUUCCCAUUUGAGUAUGAAGCAGAGGCAGCAAAGGAGCCGAAAUCAGUAACGGUUGCAGCAGAAGAGGGUACUGGUACAAAGAUUCCACUGGGUCGAGCUUCUGGCAAAUCCAUUAGAGGUUCAUUUGGAUUGAGAAGGAUUUGAAUCACCUUCCUCAUCCUAGGCCUGAGCAUAAAAUCUGGAUGCAGACAAGCAAGGCCUACCACUAGAGUCCUCUUCACUUGCUCCUCAUCGAACUCGCCUUUGAGCAUGCUGUCCACACAUUGGAGCAAUGCAUCCUUUCCAUGCAAAAUCCAUACAUAAUCCACCAAGCUAGUCUCCUCUGUAAUUCCUCUUGAUCUCCUUCCACAAACCACUUCCAGUACCACCAUGCCAAAGCUAUAGACAUCAGAAUCUGGUGUCGCCUUUCCAGUGAAGCCCACCUCAGGAGCCAAGUAUCCUGGAGUCCCUGCAAGCAUAGUUGUAACCGAGGCGUCGUUUUGGAGCAAUCUUGCAAGCCCAAAGUCACCCAAUUGAGCAUUGUAAUCAGAAUCCAACAUGAUGUUGUUGGGCUUGACGUCUCUGUGAACCACAGGGUUGCCACACUCUUCAUGGAGGUAGAGUAAUGCAGAUGCCAACCCUGUUAAUAUUUUGAACCUGGUUUUCCAGUCAAGAAAACACCGGCCAAUGAAGCGAUCAAGGCUGCCAUUCGACAUAUAUUCAUAUACUAGGAGGAGAUGCUUGCCCUCAUGGCACCAUCCCUGGAGUUGUACUAUGUUUUUGUGCCUCAGGCGGCCUAUAGUGCAUAUUUCUGCCAAAUACUCCCUCUCGCCUAUUCACAUUUGAAGUAGUUCAAAAAAAAAUAACAGAUAAGUGUGUUUGAAAACUUUCCAUGAAAAUUGUCGUUUGGCAUACUAGUUCAUGAAAAGUAAUAUGAUUCAGCUAGAACAUAUACCUUGCUUUGAGGUUGCUGAAAUCUUCUUGACUGCUAUAGGGGAAGGAUGAUCAGACAAAAUGCCUUUGUAAACAGUUCCAAAUCCACCAGCCCCCAACAGGUUUUCUUUGCUGAAGUUGUGGGUAGCCUUUGAGAGCUGUUUAUAAGUAAACAUUUUAGGGACAUUUGCAGCAGACCUUGAGCGGCUUUCGAAAUCUUCUCUGUCAAUCCUCCCAUUUCUCCUCUUGACAACUCUCAGGACUGAAAGAAUCCCACACAUCACCAAAACCAACAUAGCCACGGUGACUGGAAAAACAAUGAUCAAUAUGGUUUUUGUUUUAUCAUUUCCACUGCACUUGGAAGAGCUACAUGUUAUCGGUAUUGAUGUGAAUGCCCAGUCAAGGACCUGAUGGGUCUCUGAAACAGUCCCAGUGGAGCCUGUAAAGCCCACAUAGACAGAGCUUGGAACCGUAUCUGACAAGGCUAUGGAAUGGUUGAGAAAGCUCAGAAGAGGAUUCCCUGCAUACCCAACAGAAAUGUGAAGGGUCUCUCUCCAUCCAUCAUAAUCAAUCUUAACCUUGACUUCUCUUCCACUUUUAAGAUCGACCCCAGUGCCACUUAGGCUCUUUGCUGCAAUUGGAAUCGCUAUGCUUGUUGUAUCAAUCCCAAUAUGGUUAGCAUCUGGGUCAAACUCAUUCAUAUAGGUGUCUAGCUCCACAGCUAGCUGACGAACAACCCCACCUGCAUUUGCAAAACCAUCAAAAUAUUAUUUGCAAAUUAAAACUUUAACUCAUGACUUGGAUAAAGAAAUCAGUCCAUCGACUGGAAUUUCAGUGUUUAAAAAUAAAUUAUAUUUGUAUUACUAGUGCUUUGCUCUUAAUCAUGUGGAUAUUAUCUAUUUUGAAUUUGAAAGACCCGUGGCUUUAAAAAGCUUCUAUAAAGUUAUAAAGAGUUCAUAUAUAUCAUCACAUAUGAAUGUGAAAUGACCAUAGCGUCCUUACCUUCAAGUUUGACUGGUCAUACUCAUAGGGUCGAUUCCCCCUCUAGUAUGAGAGUUUGUUUCAGUCCAUAAGGGAUGUUGGUUUGUUUGGUCCCUAAUUUUGUGGGAUAGAAUGAGGACUUUGUGUCUAUUAAGGUAAUUAUGAUAUCCGGCGUCAUCAAAUUAGGGAAAAAGUUCUUAACAACUACACAUAUACAGACUCCCCUUAGUGGACGCGUUUUAAAAGUGUAGGAGCCCUUCAACCUAGAACGUACAGUAGUAUCUAAACGAAUUCACAAUAUCUAACGGGAGUAUUCACAAUACCUUCAGUUGACCUGUCCAGGAUUCCAAGAAACGAGCCAAAGCUACCAGCUGGGGAGGGUUGGCUAUCCUGUGCCAUGAUAAAGGCCAUUCCAUCGCCAGACCCAGUUGAAUUGGGGAAGGGGGAGAUCCUAACUGUGAAGGUGGUAGUGAUAAGUGCCGGCCAUGCUUGCACAGGGUGACGAUAUAAAACCCUCCCAACCAUGUUUGUUGAUGAAGUUGGUGAAGUUUCAUUCUCAUGUGGGGGUUGUGGAGUGAUGUUCAAAUACCCUUCACCUGCUGUCACUGAGCCCAUGCAGAUCAGUUUACUGCCAGUGCCACAAUUUCCUGGAUCAAAAGAGGAGAACGAGAAGGAGAUGGGUUCUGCUAAACUAAAAGCAGCUUGGUUCAGAAAGCCACAGACAACCAGAAGCAUAAACAUGGCAACCGAUCGAUGAUAGAGACCAAGGCACUACUCUUCUUAUGGGCAUGUACAUGUAGGGGAUAUAAGUAGGCUAUUAUCAAUUGAAGCCUAUGUUGUUUUGAGCGAAGUUGAUGUUUGAAAACAAAAACCAGUAUUAAACCAUGAGGAAAAUUAAAUUCCUUUCUUUGUAUGCUUUUGAGAGCUAACUCAAGCAACAUUAUUGACUUCUGACCAAGAGAUGCAAAUUCUUGUCUUCUUCUCUGGCCUCUUAAAACAUAAAACCGUUAAUAGACAAAAUCCCAUUCAACAAGAAUCACAAAAUAUUAGUCCAUCACACUUACCAAAGAAUACCCUAUAGAUAUAAGAAAAAAGCACCUUAAGUGCUUUCUUCCACCUUUGUCCUUCUAAUCAACUAUGCAUGCAAGUGAUGACCAUGAAAAGAAAUGGCCUCCAAUUGAAUUAUAUCAAAUCCCUCCCAAAAUAAAAAGUAAAGACUAUCUAUUCAGUUAAUUUUCUCCAUGUAAAUCCCAGAAUAGGAAAGGUCUGCAACUGUGUGUUGGGUGGUCAAGCCAAUAUUAUGGCUGUCGUUGGAUCCUAACACUGAUGUUUGUUAGGACUUAGGAUAUCCAUCACACACUAAAAAUAAAAUCUAUUGGAUAUCUUUCAGGUGGACCAGUGCAACGGAAAAUUAAAAUAAAAGGAAAUAAACUCUAAAUUAAAAAUAGCUAGCCACGUGGACUAAGCAAGCUUUUUACAGGAAAAAAAUGUUAGGAUAUCCAUCACACUAAAAAUAAAAGGAAAUAAACUCUAAAUUAAAAACAGCUUUUUACAGGAAAAAAAAAAGAUGGGAAACAAAAUUGGCAUGCCUGCCAAACAGGCAACAGAAGGGCUAAAAUUAAGUAACAACUUCUGUUGAUGAGAUUACCCAGACAAUGAUGACAAAAGGCUGACAGCCAAGCAAAGACAUGAGAAAACAUUGGCACCACACAUCAUAGCUUGUAGCAGUUUCUUAUUCUGGAAUGCACUGCUCCAUUCAUCCUGGUUGGGAUUUAUAUAUUGGUUGAUUGUUCAGAUGUUGAAGAUCAGAAAGUAAAAGAAAGAAGCAAAGUGAGACAGGUUGAGAGCAGUUCUUCUAAGUCACAAUAAUUUGUGGGGGAGAUAUAUAUAUAUAUAUAUAUAUACAAGAGGGGAGACGACCAUGAAGCUCUGGAGAAGGGCUUCUGGGACUUUGAAAGACAAGAACAGCAUGUUGAUUGCAAGUCUGUCAAGUAGGAAUGCUCCCUGGAACCCAAGAUUUGAGGUGACAAUCAUAAAAGCUACAAGCCAUGACGAAUCAGAAGUGGAUUAUGAGAACAUCAAACGAGUCUUUGCAUGGCUGCAUGCUUCUCCAGCCUACCUAAAGCCUCUUCUCUCUUCUCUCUCUACGCGUCUGCAGAAGACAUGUAGUUGGGUGGUGGCCUUAAAGGGUCUGGUGCUCAUGCAUGGUGUUCUCCGUUGUAACAUCCCCGCUGUGCAGAACAUCGGUCGCUUGCCAUUUGAUCUAUCGAAUUUCAGAGAUAGUUACAGGAAAUCAGGAAGAACUUGGGGUUUAAACACUUUUGUUCAAUCUUACUUUGCGUUUCUGGAUCAAACAUCUGCCUUCUUGUACAUGGAACGGAAGGAAGAGAGCAAAGAAACAGAAUCAGCCCUGGUGCAAGAGCUUGUGAAGCUGCAGCAAUGGCAGUCAUUGCUGGGUAUCUUACUUCAAAUCAGACCACAGGCCAAGGAAAUGGAUAUAGCUCUUGUCUAUGAAGCUAUGAACUGCGUGAUCAUCGAGAUUUUCAGUUUCUACAACAGAAUCUGCAAUAGGGUCGCAAGAGUUCUUACCGGGAUAUAUGCAGCUGAAAAGGUUGAAGCAGCCAUGGCACUUGAGAUUCUUCAGAAAGCAUCACAGCAGCGUGAACAACUCGCUCUAUAUUUAAAUUUCUGCAGGAAGAUUGGUGUUUUCAAUGAGUCAAAAUUCCCAGAAGUUGAACAGAUCCCAAAAAAGGAUAUCCAAAAGCUUGAGCGGAUUGUCAGUGGAGUCUCAGAAAAUCAAGCCACGGUAGUGAAGACAAUUGAACCCAAAGAGGAGCAGGAGGAACCCAAGAGGGUUUUAAAGACCAUAAUCACUGAAACGUGGGAGGUUUUUGAUGAAGACCCAGACAGCAAUGGAAUUGGCUUCUCUAAUAUUCCAGGAAAAACAACUGUUGGGCAAAAUCCUUCUGCAGCUCCUUUGAAAUUUCCACCCAACACACAUGGCCAGAAAUAUGAUUUCCCAGAUUUAAUAAGUUUCUUGUAGUUGGAGUGAGACUUGUAUCUGAAUUUUGUCUUAACAGGCCUGGCUUGCAGAGUAGAGGGUUGAGGUGGGUGAGAAUGGAGAGGUUUCAUGUCUGAUUCCAUGUAUCAAACAGAAAAAUUACUCAAAAACGGGAUUUUCACUUCCUUAAAGAAAAUUUGAGGCUUCAGCUUAAUAUUUUGCAGCUGUUUCCCAAAUUCAAUCUCUUCUUCUUAUUCUUCUUUUAUUUAUAUAUAUAUGUACUUUUGUUGGUGAAAUGGUGUACAUCCUCAUGUGAGUUAAGUUGCUAUGAAUGGCAAUCCAUGUACACAUAGAAGGCCAUUUUCAAGUAAUGUGAAGUAAACAUCAUUCCCAAGCAUGAAAUGAAAAUUAUUUUCAUCACAAUGUACUCUCCAAGAAAAUAACUUUUUUGGAUUUACUUUUCAUCCAUAUUUUAUAAAUAGUGCAUGUUUACAUAAAUCCCCUUAAAGUUUAAUACAAUUUUUUUAAUUUCUUUUAAUCUUAUCCUCCUAUUAUACAAUGCCAGACCUUUGUGUGAGGCAAAAAAUAGAAAGGAAAAUUAAAAAUAAGAAUAAAUAAAUUUUAUUCCCCUUUUUAACAAUUUCUUCUUCUUCUUCAAGAAUUUGGAAAUCAAUUUAACCCAUUUUCUUCAUAUUUCAUGAUUGAAAAUAAUUGUAAAAACAUUUUAGAGAACUAGAAAUGGCAGAAUGCAUGACCACUAUAAAGUUCUUACAAAAAAAAAAACCAUAAGUUUCCCUUACGGUUAACUUUAAACUCAUUUCCUCAUUUUAAUGUUAAAACUAAGUAAUUUUAACAUUAACACCUAAUAAGUAUUUCUUCCAACAAAAAGUUACCUCUCAUCAUGCAUCACCAUACCAAACAUUAAAAUAUUUUUUAUUCAUAUUUCAACAUUAUUAAAAUAUUUUAACAUUCUUAUUUAUAUCUAAAAAUCAUUAAACAAUAAAAAAAAUCACUUUAAUUGAGUGUUAUUGACAGAUCCACCAUUCAACCUGCAGCUGGUAAAAACCACCUAUGUAGUUUAAAAAAUAUAUAUAUUCUUAAAGGCUGAAAGCCCAUCUUGUUUAAGUUCUUUACAACAGUCCAACAUUUGACAAAAUUUCAAAAAUCUAAAAUCAUUUGAAACUGACAAAAAAGCAACGCACGCUAAAUACAAUUUUACCAUGAGACAAAAAUCAUUCAAAAUACAAUAUUACAUAUAAUAUCUAUUUUUAAAAACAUAGAAAGCAUAUUUAAAACAUUCUAAAUCCCUAAACAUACUACUGCUCUAGAAAACAUCUGGAUACAAUAUUGCAAAACUGUUACAUAAAAUAGUUUUUGAAAAAGUUCCCACAUAUGUUGGAUCCGCUCAGACAAAAUAAACAGGGCAGCCAUUUUAUAACCAGCUAACCCUGAUUCCUGAAAUAUGUUGCAUAGCAAGCCAUUCUACCAGUAACUGGUCAGUUCCUCACAACAUACGAGAAUAUUGGUUACAGAUGCUGCCGUGAAAAAUACAUUAAUAAAAAACUCUAAAAAAAAUACAAAAAGCCUGUUUCGCAUCAUCAAAUAAUUAAAAUGACAAUCAUGAUAUGAUAGGACAUAGGAGACAGCAAAUCUAAUUUUAGAAAAAACCAAGUACUGCAUGUGGAUGCCGCGCAAUUGUUGCAGUUAAGUGUUAUAGCUUUUUUGUUCUAAUAAGCAAAACUAGCUAUUUCUCCAUGAUCAGCUGGGAUCCCCCCCAACCCAGGGUCUUUUAUAUAACUACAAUAACUCAUUAAGGCAGUGCAAAUCAAAUAGUCGGCCAUCUGCCUCUGCAAAGCAUCUGGGUUUUAACCAUAUUCAACAUUAGUGCAACCAAGUUCCAACAAAAACCUAACCAGCUGAUCAAAAACGCUUUCCCUGCUAUGAAGCUUCUGUGUAGCCCACCCGAGUUUCAUUACGAUGGCACUGCAUACAAAAAAUUUUUAAAACAUAAGCACAACUUGGAGAUGAGUUGUGCAAAAAUAAAUGAUAAUAGAACUGGGCAAAAAUUUAAUAUGCAUUCCUUAUUAUCAUUAAACAGUAAUAUUUGCACAUAUUAGCUGAACACCGAAAUAUUAAAUUAAGAAAACAGAAAAUAAUAAUUUAAAAAAAAAAAAAAAACAAUAGAACACAUUAAUAAGAAUAUAAUCCAUCCAAUUAGAACGAGCUGGUUGUCCUAAAGAGGAAAAUAAUAAUUCUGUGAUCAUUAUGCUGCUUUUUGAAUGAGGGCAAUUUUUAAAGUUUAAGUGGAAGAUAUCCAAAUGAACUGGAGCAUGUACAAAAACUCAUCCAAUGAACAGAGUCUGUUGGUCCAAGAGAAAGACAUAAUACUUGACAAAUACAAUUUGGUUCCAACUACACAACACAGUGAUAACUUGGGCCCAUCUUGACAACAUGAAAUCACAAUUGCUUGUUUACAGAACCCAAACAAUUUCGGGUAAGGAAAUUGGUAAGGGGGGUAGAACUACCAUUCAAAGAGGAAGCGGGGAAAGAAAAUACCAAAAAAUUGUUAGUUGCAUUAUGCAUGAGACACAUUUUGCAAAAUCACCCCAAAUCAGCAGGAUCUAAAGGAAAAGGAGCUACAGGCAUGAAUUCAAUGCAAGAAACAUCCAAAAACUACAGAAGUAAAUACAAAGCAAAACCAUUGAGCUAAAAGGCAAAUACAACACCAUAUGUGAAUAAACAAAAACAAUAUCACAUGAAAACAUAUCAGACAAGUUAAAAAAAGAAAAAAAAAAAGGUUUAUCAUACUUUACCCCCCAACUUAUAGCGUGUUUUGUACAAUGCCCCAUCGAAUUCAAAAUUGAGCAAUGUAACGCUCAUCCUUUAUAAUUGCAUGCAAUGUACAUUUUUUUAAAGAGAACGUUAAUUUUUUAACAAAAAGGCAUGUACUCUCCACGUGAUCGAGGGCAAAAUGAUCAAUUUUUUGGGUUUAUUACACUUUACCCCCCAACAUAUAGUGUGUUUUGCAUAUUGCUCCCUUGAGUUUUAAAAUCGAAUAAUGUACCCUCCAUCCUUUAUAAUUGUAUGCAAUGUACAUUUUUUGAGAGAUAACGUUAUUUUUUUUUUUUACAGAAAGGCAUGUGUUCUCCACGUAAUUGAGGCCAAAAUGGUCAAUUUAUAAAACCCUAACCAGUCUGCCCUCCUCUUCCUUCGUUCUUCUUUUCUCUUCACCCUUUUUCUCUCCUCCCCCAAUCAAUGACUAUGUCUCUUGAAAUUUCAACCUUAAAACCAAACCAGGGUAAGUAUUCAGAGAUAGGCUUUAAAGAAGGAUGUGAUGAAAACAACAAAAAAAAAACCCAAAUUCCAAACCCAUAUUCCAUUUUAUUCAAACCGACAGCUCCCACAAUUCAACAUAAUCGGGUUUAUGGCUAUAAGGAGUUGAAAAUCCAACUUCAAUGUCAAAGCUCAAACCCUCCAAAAGAUAGAAUUAAAAGAGGGAAAAAAACACUUCAAUUUGGUAUGAUUACCUCCAAUCACAACCAAACAUCCAAAAAAACCAAGCUUUUUGAAAAAACCCAAAUCAAGAAUCUGGAAGACCCACAUUACACAAUUCUGCAAAUUUUUUGACAAAAAUUUUAACAAAACCAAACUUUUCCUUGAUGGUAUCUUUUUAUAGAUAAAAAACAGAUGUCCAAAUGCUUAUCUAGCAUAGACCAUAGUGGAAAUAUGAAAGAGAAAAAGUAGAGAGAAGAAGAAGAAUGAAGGAAGAUAAGGCUGGUUAGGGUUUUUUUAAAAAUUGACCCUUUUGCCCUCGUUCACAAGGAGGGUACAUGCCUUUCCGUAAAAAAAAAUUAACAGUCUCUCAAAAAAUACACAUUGCAUUCAAUUAUAAAGAAUGGAUGAUACAUUGCUCGAUUUUGAAACUCAAGGGGGGGCAAUGUGCAAAACACACCAUAUGUUGGGGGUAAAGUGUAAUAAACCCAAAAAAUUGACCAUUUUGUCAUCGAUCACGUGAAGAGCACAUGCCUUUCUGUUAAAAAAAUUAACACCCUCUCUCAAAAAAUGCACAUUACAUGUAAUUAUAAAGGAUAGGGGGUACAUUGCUCAAUUUUAAACUCGAGGGGGCAAUGUGCAAAACAAGCCAUAGGUUGAGGGGGUAAAGUGUAAUAAACCCAAAAUAAAAAUAAAAAGCAUCUUCAUAGUUAGUGAAUAUUGUGCAAACUUAUUGAGCUAAUCAGUGAGCAUAAUACCAAUCAUCAAGUAAAUCAACAAAAACAUCGCAUUAACAUUUAAGAAGACAUACUGUAUGUAGAGGUAUCAAUCUGCUCAGGGAGCUCCUUAAUAUCCACCUCAAAUCUCUCCUGGACCUGUAAUCAUUGAACCAGACAAAUUAGAUUCACAAAUAUAUUAAUCAACAAAACAAUGCAAACAAAAACCCAAUAAUUCCCAACCUGAUUAAGAACAUCAGAGUCAGAAGCUGAUGAAACAAAUGUAAUUGCAAGUCCUUUGGUGCCAAAUCUUCCAGCUCUACCAACCUGCCAAGAAUAUAAUAAUCAAGUAAAAUACAUAUAGCUAUGAGAGCACUGUACAAGGGAGGUACACUGGUCUUAGAUAAAAUAACAUGAUUAGAUUGGGCAUACCCUGUGCAGAUAAGUGUCUGCAGAAUCUGGCAUGUCAUAGUUUAUAACAAUAUUGACACGCUCAAUGUCAAUUCCCCUACCAACCAAAUCCGUGGCCACAAGAAUCCUUUUAUGCCCCUCCUUGAAACCCUUGUAGCGUGUCAACCUACAACAAAAGGCAUGUCAUUCAGCUCAAUGGAAUAUCAUGACAUCGGGGAAAACAACUCUGUCAAGCAACAAGACAGCUGUUUAUAAUGGAUGGUAGAGGAGGAAGCCCCAUGAUUCUCGUUAAGCAAAGAGAAUAUACAACCAAGCCAGUUACAGUCUAAUCUCAACUACCAAAUAAAUCAGAUAUACAGAACAAUAAAAAAAUAGAGGCUUAAAAAUUGGCAAAAUUGGUCCCGCAUAAAUAAAAAACAUCUCUUCGAUUUGGUCCCAAGCAAGUUAUAUGACCUCAGCAGUAGAAACAAUUAGCAUUUAUUAAGAAAAAAAUUGUCUUGAAUCUAGAGAGUGAAUGCACUCAUCACAAAUUCCAUAGCAAAGGCUCCAAUAAAAAUAAAUAAAUGCUUAGGCAUUCAUAAUCCCAAGCUCGAGACAUCAACUAAAAAGUACACAAACAAAAAACACAACAAAAAUAAACAACAUAAACAGCUAAUACCCAGGCCUAGCCCCAGAAAUAAAAAAGUUUAAAGAAAGAAAAAUUAUCCAUUGGCUUAGGCCAGUUCAUAAGAAAAAAUCAACCUGCUUCUGAUUUGUUAACUUAAUUGCUCAACCAUAGAAUUCUUCCAAUCAUGGCAAAAUCCAGAACAUGAACAAAACUUUAAGGCCGCAUCAUUAGUCUAGAAUCUUAAUGUUGCUUGAAACAUCAAGUGAACCAAUGGAAAAAUCCUCUCUUUUGCCCAGAACCCUCCACCUUUCAUCACCAAUGUUAUUACAGGCCAAGUAUUAGAAAGAUGUCCUAAUCCAAGAAAUAAGGCAUAAAGCAUGUUUACAGCAUUCAUUACACUUCAUGUGGGAAUCACACCUAGUCAAUCUCCAAAUUAAGUUGCAAGCGGUAUAGAGUUAGCAGUUUAAAUGUUCUACACCAGGAAUAUCUCAAUCCCCUCUCAGCAAUAACCACCACUAUUAUUUCAAAUGGAGACAAAUAUAUUUAAAAACUUCAGUUUGCAUCACAGAAUCAUUCCAUCCAUAAAUAAGGCUUGCAUCCUAGCCUUUAGGAUCAUAGAUAAGAAUACAGACAGUUUUCUAUUCUUGCCUCUAUUUCAGCACUACCUGUUUUCCAGCCUAGCAAGAGCACUACAAGGAGGCAGCACCACAUUUUCAUCCAAACUCUGGGCAUAAGUUACAGCCAUUAUGGUGCAAAUACCAAAGAAGAUAGGAAGAUAGAAGUUGGAGAAUACAGGUAGAGCAAGCAAUGACCAAUCAGAAUUUUAAGUGCACAAUCAUAGUUCUGAAAGGCACAAAAAUUUCCUAGGGCCUAGAUAGAAGGCACACUGAGCUAUGUGAGGCCCAACCUAGGACACACCUGCUUUUAUAAAAUGUAUAGUAAAUUUUGACAUGAAAACACCUGUCAUGCACUCUUUUAUCACCAAUUACCAUCCAAAUCAAUCCAGGUAACAAUAAAUCAAGAUUCACAGCAUUUAAAAGAAGCAUCCCACUAAAGACAAUGAACCAAUAUAAAAUUUUCAAUCUGGAGUCAGAAAUUUUAAAAACAAAAAAGUGUUAAAAUGCUACGUUUAACUGUUUGGCACUGAGAAACAUAGAAUAGAGGAAGAUACACUUUUUGGAAGCUGACAGUUUUCAACACAAUGUAACUACUCCGUUUAAAAGUCAAUGUGAACAAGUCCUAGCCAAACAAUAAAGAAUCAAUAGCUUAACAUGCAUCAAGUUAAAAUUAUAUAAAUACACCUGUUUUUUUGUCUGACAAGCAGAGAAGUAGCCAUACAAAUGAUACCAACCUUUCUUCCUGGGGCAUCCCAGAAUGGAUGCAGAUAGACGGGAAAUUGCACUCCACAAGUAACUUGUUCAGCUCUGCGGCUCUACUCACACUUUUGACGAAGAUAACAACUUGAUUGAAGUCCAAUGCAUCAAGGAGAUCAUUCAACUUGCGAUUUUUCUCAAGCUCACUCAGUUUGAUGUAGUGCUGCCCUCAAAAGGUAUCAAGGUGAGAUAAAUACAAAUCACCAACAACAGUCCAACAGAAACUUAAUGGUUAAAAUUAUACCUGUACAAGACCAUGAAGGGUCAACUUGGCCUCGUCAUCAACAUAAAUUUCCAUAGGCUGAAAGGAACAAAUGUCACAGUAAAGCAUAUUAGGAGCCUUCUUCAAGGCAAGUACGAAAUGAAUGAUGGACGCACAUCCCUUGAAUCAAGAUUCUGGUCCAUCUGAUUUGCCUCCAUCCAGGUAACUUUUUAAGUCACACCAAACAAGUCCCACUGUCGCUCAACCAAAUCGAUAAAAAAAAAAGGGGGAAAAGAACUAUAUGAGACUGACAAUGCAACCCACAUACCCCACCAACCAGCAUCAACCCCAACUUGAUUACCACACCAUCAGACUAAAGAAAACAUCAAUGGACUACAGAACAUGACCCAAAGGAAAAAUAAGCGGAAAAUGUUAAGACAUUUAUCCUAUGCAACUAUGAAACGUUCUAAAGGGAUCCAUGCUUAUUUUACCCUCUUCUAGCUACCACCCUUCCCUAUGAAGCUACAUUUCCCAACAGAAAUGUCUUGAGUAAAGGCACUGCAUUAACACAACGUGAAUGGCAAGCAUACAGUGCUGGGACCACCAGAUUCCCAGAUAUCUAGUUAACUCCUGCAGAAAGCUGGCAUUAUGAAAAAGGAUGACUUCUAAAUUCAAGUAGUACUGGCCAUGAGACAUUACAUCUUGCAUAAAUUUCUUGCAAACAGGGCGGAUUUCCUUGCUGAGGGUUGCUGAAAACAUCAUAACCUGCUUAUCAUGAGGAGUCAUCUUGAAGAUCUCUUGAACAUCCCUCCUCAUGUCUGCAAAACAAACAGGGCAAAGAAAUAUGGAAAAUAAAACAUGAAAAUAGUUAAAAUAUAGACAAGAAAUCAAAACAUCUUGAAGAUCAAACAUUUAACAAAGAUGAACAUUGGGCACAAAAAACAUACCAAGUGAUUCAAGCAUCUUGUCACAUUCAUCAAGGAUAAAGUGUCUCACAUUCUUUAAAGCAAGGUCCUUGUCUCUAGCAAGUGCCAGUAUCCUUCCAGGUGUUCCAACAACAAUAUGAGGGCAUUCAUUUUUUAAAAGAUCCUUGUGAAUUUUUAUAUUGACGCCACCAUAGAAAACAGCAACCUUGAUAUCAGGUAAAUAAGUACUGAAUCUCUCGAACUCGUGGCAGAUCUGCAGUUGGAAGAUAGAAAUAAUGAAACAAAUAAGUCAUUUUCAUUCUUUUAAUUUAAACAAAAAAAAAAAAAAAUCUUUAAAAGAGAUGAGUUGAAACGGAGAUCUUGGUUUUGAAACAUACCUGGUAAGCUAACUCCCUUGUAUGGCAUAGAACGAGAGCUGCGACUUGACCUGUGACAGGCUCAAUUUGUUGCAGGGUUGACAGAACAAACACAGCAGUUUUUCCCAUCCCCGAUUUAGCUUGACAAAUAACAUCCAUGCCCAAGAUAGCUUGAGGGAUACACUCAUGUUGCACUGAUGAAGAACCAAAGAAAAUCGGAGCGAAGGAACCCUCAGUAAGUAAAAUAUGACCUCCCUGGUCCUUUUAAUUGAAAGGUUUACUAAACCAUUUUACUUCUCCGAAAUCAAGAGUAUGAUAAUAGUGAAUUACCUGAAAAUUGAACAUCACAGUAAUUUAGAAGGGCAAUGCCAGCAAGCCAGACUUACCAAAAGAUACAACAUGGACAAACAUCUAACACAAGCAUAAAACAACAUAAAAUUCAAUACUUUGCCAACAGGUUUAGUUCUAGCAGACAUUAACAGAAGUCAUCACCACCAAACGAAAAUAAUACUGAAAGACCAAAUGAAAGUCAAAGUAAGAGCCAGACAAAUGUGAAGUGACAAAGAGGGAGAAAAACCAAACUUCAUGACCAAGGCAAUUUUUUGAUAAAACUGAAACCUUUAGCCUAUAAAAGGUAAAUUCACUAUUAGGCGAAUAAAAUGAGAGUGGAUGGUAAUAUUGGUUUAACAGUGUAAAAUCACAAAAAGGAAGAGCAUUCAAUUUUCAGCAACGAGUCAACAGGUCCAAGCUGAAUUUUGCAGUGCCAUUUUCAGUGAAUACAGAAAUGUCAGUGAUUAACAUUGCAUGGUACUAAGUCACCAUCCAAAUUUAGCACUGAAAAUUUCAGUCAUUAGCACUAACUUUGUUAUCAAACAGACCUAAAGAAAGAAAACCACAAAAUAGAAAACCAAAGAGCAGAAUGAAGGAAAGCAGCACAAUAGUUGGGAAAAAAUGAAGCAGAUAUGAAGAGUCAACUAAAUGCCAGUUCUACUACUUUACCUCUUUGAAAUGGCCUAACUGGUCUUACCAUUUUGGAAACACACAAAUAAGAAGUCUGUUGAGUACCAACAAAAACCAGGGAAAAAAAAUAAUAAUAACAAACAAACAUACAACUACAGGAAAAGUACACUGGAGGCCACAUAAAAUGUCAAGUGACAUUUUUUUUAACCAUAGAAAUAGGUAAAACUGGUACCUGCUAAAGGUCCUGCAGUAAAACCUCAAUAAAUAAAUGUUCGAUAAAUUAAUGAUCUUGCUUAAAUAAUAAAAUCUUCUAGUCCCAAAUCGGACCAAUGUACUAAAUUAAUAACCUCGCUAAAUGCAUAAAAUAAUAACUUUUUUAGAAAUCUUUAAGGGCUCAAGGAAAUAUAAAUUAAUAAUUGAUGAAGUCCAUAAAAAAUAGCAAACAAAAAGUCAUAAUUCAGUAUUGAGUAACUUUUUGCAACUUCUAAUCUUCUCUAUUCAACUCUUUAUCAUAACCAUCACAUACUUGAAACCUCUUUACCUUCUAGGGGAUUAAAUUUUGACACUGCAUCUCUUCCUUUUAGAAGUUUUUCUAUCUUCUACAAUUAAUAGUCAUCUCUUCUUUUUUAGAGUACUUUAGGCUUCUAUGUAUUAACUUUACACCACAUCCAGUGUUUUUGGAUUUAUAAGUCAUAUUUGUACAAGUACUUACAGUAAAAACAUAAUACUCUCUCCAAAUUAAUCAAUUUCACAGAUAAAUUAAUAAAUUAUUCAUCUAUUGAUAAAACAAUAACCCUGCUAGGAUAAUAAUUUCUCUUGGUCCCAAGAGUCAUAUGUCAUAACAAUUUUACUGUAUUCAACAAUAGCAGGCUAACAAGGAUAUCCAGAGAAUCUAGAUUUGUUCAAAAAUAAAUAAUUAAAUGAAAAGAUGAAUUCUAACUCUUGAGUGGCUCAUAAAUCUCAUCAAAAACAUAGAAAACAAUUCAGUAAAACUUCAUGACAAAUAAAUGCUAAUUUCCAUGCACUUUCUACCACUGUAUUGAGACAACCAUAAUAUAAAGCACUUUCCACCACUGCAUUAAGACAGCCAUUACACUUCAUAGAAAUACCAAAUACAUGAUAUUCUGAUAGCUGUCAAAAUCCUUAAAUCCAGUUUUCUAGCUUGAACUGGAAGAAUAACACCACAAUAGGAGUAUCUCAAUGAAUUCAUUAGUUUCAAGUUUCAACCAAUGAAAUUGACAGAAGAAAUGAAAUAAUAACAUGCCUUCAGAAGGAUGCUCAAACCCCGAGUCCACAAUUGCCCGAAGAAGUUCUGGCUUCAAAAGGAAGUCUCUGAAUCCUGAACUGUGAAUUCCAACAUAGCCCCUAACAAAAACAACAAUAAACAAUGAGAAAUAAGCUACCUUCACAUACAACAGGAGCUCCACAAUGCAUUUAUUGAAACAAACUUGACUGUGAAUACAAAUGGAAGCACAACAUCAGCACACAAUUGGGCAUGCUACUGCAAUGGCAUAUACAGAGAACUGACUUCUUUUUCAUUGCUGAGAAAAUAUAGGCAAAGAAAUCAAAAUCUUGAGUAUGAGAUUCUUCUACCGUUCAAGAGCCCAAGGAAACAAUGUUGCUUAGCUGAGACUACUACAAUUGUUCUUACCUGAGAUGAUAUUUCAUCUUUUUUGCAGAAAACAUUUUUCCUUCUUCUAUUUUUGGUAGAAGAAUUUUUAUUUCAGAAACCAAAACAUAUUAUUUCUAGCAUAAGCUACAAAAUUUUGUAUCCUUUUACUCAGUUAGCUGUAGCGAAAGGAAACAUAUCAAGAAAUGCCUUUUUGAGCCAUAUCAUACAAUUCUUAAUCUCGUAGAAAAGGGAAAAAGUGAAACAUUCCGAUAACAGUCAGAUCCGUUAAGUAGACAGUCUAGGCAUAAUAGACCAAUAUAAGACUUGCUUUCCAGCAAUCAAAUUGAUGGCUAAUUUAAUGAUUUUCCCCGAAAUUCCCCACAUCCGAACGGCCCAAAAUCUGAAUUUAAAUGAAACUCAAAAUCCUCCGUUUGGUUGCCGACAAAAUGUUGGUAGAUACCAGAAACUAAGAUACUGGCAACAUUUUUCACCAUUGCGACCCAAGAAAAUGUAGAUCGCCCUCAACUAAGCCUAAAGCAACUAUAUGGCUCACUGUUAAAUUUUUUUCCCCGUUUUAUUGCAUAUAUAUAUGCAAAAACCAUAUCGUUUCAAAAGAAAAUAUCCACUCUUCCAAAAUUUCAACGCAACCAAACAGAAAAAAAAUUAGGAAAAAAAAAACAUAUGGAAAUCAAAUAGUAGGAGUCUCACUUCUUGGCGGCUUCGCCGUUGACUUUUCCGGUGACGGAGUCGGGGGCUUUGUCUUCUUCUUCCUCGUAGUCGAGAAGCUCUUCCUCGUAAGCAUCGUUGUCCCUUGUUUCUCCCAUAAUCUCUGUAUGCAAAAAUCAAAUAAAAUCUCCAUCAAAUUAAGGCUUAAAGAUAAGAAAUCUGAGGAGAGAAAGAGCUUUUAGGGUUUAGGAUUUACGUAGAGUCGCCGACAAAGUUGGCUAGGGUUAGGGUUUGGAUAGUCUGCAAGAAAAUGUUAGAGAGGAUGAGAAAGUGAGUGCUCGCAAGGGAGAUGGAUAGGGUUUUAUGAUUGGAGUAGGAUUUGAUGACUGAAAUUCCGUAGAUACCCUUACUGUUCAUCAUAAUUACAACAUCACAUUUGGGUAGUGUUUGUUUGCAAGUUGACGCUGUUCCACUGUCACGCGGAUAUCGCUUUAGGAUCGUAGUCCUAGGAAAGAUGUUUUGUCAAACUUACUAAACAAUCAACAUUUGAAAUUUUUUAUUGUUCACCACGGAAAAAAAUAUAUAUAUAUUUGGUCCUAAACAUAAUUAAAAAAGAAACAUGAAAAAAAAAACUUAUUAAUUUUUAUAAAUUGAAAUAAAUGAAACAAAAUCAUUUAACCCUAAUUUGUUUUGCCCUAGCCAAUAGGGAUAUCAUUAUUGAUUUUUAUAUUCCUUAGUGGAUAAUGUAAAAUAAAAUCCAAUAUUUACUAGUAUGAUUAGAUGUUGUUGGUAUUAUUUGAUUCUUAUUUAUUUUAAACACAUUAUAUUUAAGGCGAGUCAUCAAUGUUUUUCAUACUCGAUGAGUGAUUAAAUAGAAAAACUUAUUGAUUCAUGGUUCAACGGUCGGAUCGAUGGUUAAAACGUAGUUGAAUCUAUGUCAUAAAUUUAUAUUAUAUUAAAAUAAAAUAUAAAAUUAAAAAGUAUAUAUGAUUAAAAUUUUAUAAUGUUUUUAAUAUUAUUUAUUUAUUUUAUAUAAAUAUAUUAAUAUUUUAAAUUUUAUUAAACAAAACAUGUAUGAUGUUUAAAUAUGAGAAUAUAUUAAAAACAAAAGAAAAAUCAUAAUAUAUAUAUAUAUACCCCUAUAGCCAGGGUAUGAAGCCACUUCAUUCGGUCAAUGUGAUUCUACUUGAAAGUUUUUCCACGCCCUACAACAAUUUCUCACAUUUGUAAGGAUCAUCCGAAUAAUAUCUAAAACCUGUUAGAACCGUCCCGCACCGCGUAUCCUAUACGGAUUCGCAGUUAAUCAUUUUGUGUGCAAUCUAAUUUAUCUCUUUGCAUUUAGCUCUAGAAAAGAUUGUUAUAAAGUGAUCACUGAACUUUCAUACAACUGGGGUAGUUUCAAAGGCUUAAAAGAGUGUAAGUAAGGGAUUUCUCUUCAAAGUACUGUAACCUAGUUCAAUUCACCUCAUUGAUUCCUUAUACAAACCUUAAAUCUCGACUCGUCCUUUCUUUCUGAGCCCAACCACAUUUCCAUUUGAUUAUGCUCUUGUUGAGGAGGCAGGCCAUAGACCUACUAAGUAGAUAUAUAUAUAUAUAUAUAUAUAUAUAUAUAUAUAUAUAUAUAUAUAUAUUAUGAUUUUUCUUUUAUUUUUAAUAUAUUUUCAUAUUUAAACAUUUGAUUUCUUUCUUUAAAUUAACUAUUACAUUGAUCCCACAUCAAGACAGAGGAGAUAUAAAGUUUUAUGAACUUCUUUCAUCCAUCAAAGGUGAAUGACUUAUGGGCCAUGAGGCAGUGUAAAUGAAACAUAACUUAUUUUGCAAAAUGGAGGCAAUUAGAGCUAGGCUAGGAGGGAAAAUGUGGCCCACCAAAAGACAAGGGAAGUUUAACUGUUAAUUAUUUAGCCCACUCGAUUUACUAGUUCAAUCGCUGGUUUAAAUGAUUUGAGGUGGAUUCAAUUGAUAAAUAGUUCGAGAGAGGGAAUUGAUUCGAAAAGGUAUUCAGUUGAUGGUUAAACUAGUUUGAUUAUCCAAUGGUUGGACCUGUUUGACUAAUGAUUCAAUCAUUUUUCAAAACAGUCAUUCAUUUAUAAAAUCUCAUUUAAUCAAACACCAUUUAUUAUUUAAUACUCAUAACAAAAAUAUUUUUUAAAUAUUUGAUUUGAUUUGAUAUAAAUUUGUUAUUUAUAUAAAUAUGAAAAAUGUUAAUUGAAAAGUUUUGGAUAUUUCAACAUAUUUAAACUUUUAACAUUUUUAUGAUUAUUAAAUUAUAAAUUCUUAUUUGUAAUUAUAUUUGAAAAUUUCCUCCAUUAAACCGUAUCAAUCUUCCUUAUCGGCUUUAAACCUUUUGUUAACCAUUUUUCAGUCUAAACAUGUGAGAAGUGAAAGAAAAUUUGUCGGACAAUUUUGGUUUAAACUUUUUAUUUAAUAAAUUAUUUAAAUGUUCAAACUUAAUUAUUUUUUAAUAAAUAAAUAAUAAUUCAAAAAUUAAACUCAGCAGGUGGAGGAGAUAUUUGAAGUAAAGCAACAUCAGGAAACCAAUAAAUCCAAGCCACUAAAAUGAGUGAACUCUCUAUCUAUUUGCUUGUUGAUGGUGGGGAAGUACUCCUCCUCUCUCCUACUCCAAUGGCUUCUGCCGCAUGCUUGGUAUCUUUAAACCCAUUUAGUGCCCUACUCAAACCAGGCAUCUCUCUCUGUCUUUCUUCUCUAAGCUGUUCAACAAAUUCCAUUUUUCCCAUCUCUUUGCAUUUACUUUUGUGCCAAUUUUGCAUGAGCAGGGGUUCGUCCUGGCUUUCAAAAAUUUCCUGCAACUAAAUUCAGCCCUCCCAAGGUCAGUUUUUCCGUUUCAUUUCUGAUAUGGGUUUCACUCUUUUCUUUUUAUAAUCCAGAAACAGGCAAGAUCCAUGCGCGUUGUAUUCUAAAUUACGUUUUCUUUUUUUUUUAAAUUAUCAUGAUAGGCUGCACAAAGUAAUUCAAAAGGCACAAAACCAAACAGUGUUGUGUGUGCUGAUUGUGAUGGAAAUGGUAAGCCCCUUUCCAUUUGUUUUAUUUAUUUAUUUUGUAUUCAAAGAGAAUGCCUGUGGGCUUCACAAUAGUGAGUAGAUUUGAACACUGGCACCGUUAUAUUGUGUAUAGUUCCCUAAAAGGAAGAAUUGAUUCCCCCGGAUGAGAUUUUCUAGGAAAUUUUCUUGGAAUGUGGUGUGCUGUGAAAAUGAAUUGAGUAGACACUUCCAUGCUUCACUGACCUUUUCAUUUAGGGAAUUGCAUAGAACUUGCUACUUCAAAGAAUGAAACGGUGGUUCUUCUUCCUCUUCCUAUCUCAUCCUUGAUUAAAAAUUUUCCUGAGCUAUUUGUGGUUUUCACUUCCUUGAUAUUUCCCCCUUGUAUGCAUUCUGUAAAAUUAUGUUGCCCUUUGCACAGAUCAACAACUGAUCAUUAUCUUGGAUCGUGCCUUGGGUGACCUAUCCCCAAACUUAAGAGUGACAUUGUUGCACCCCCCAACAUGGUGCUCUAGUGACUCAAGACCAUGAGUCUUGGCUUUGAUACAAAUUCUUGGAUUGGGCUUUGACUAUCUCAUCUGAAAAUCAAUUUGUGUCCGGUAAGGGUAGGCUUCCUUUUAUGGCAUUUGGAUGACCAAUCCUUAGUCUCAAGAGCAGCAUUAUUGCACCCCAGCACAGUAUUCUCACUUGCUAUCCCUUUGGGUGCAAUGCUAAGACUAGGAUACAUUCUGGUAAGCAUGUUUAACCAAUAUUCAUGCCCAUGUGUCAUGAAUCCCUUCUGUGAAAGAUCCAUUCGAAGUGACAACCAAUAUUCAAAGAAUUUUCAUUCGUCGUAUAUAAAACCUUGUUAUUUUUUUCCAAUUAUCAGGUGCAGUUCUAUGUUCACAAUGCAAAGGCAGUGGAGUGAACUCUGUUGAUUUCUUCAAUGGCCAAUUUAAAGCUGGAGAAUCAUGUUGGCUUUGUGGGUAUGUCAUAUUGUUUAAUACAAUGCUAAUAAACAAUAAUGUCACAUUAUCCAAGAACUGAAUUAUUUAGAUUUGGAAUGUAUUGACUUCUGAGGGUAAACACAACUGUCCAUGCAGUGCGGAAGUUUUUGUCCUCAUUUCCUCAAUACCCACUUAUCUCUACUUCAUUUUUGAUAAACCAUCCCUCGGGAUGAUUCUAGAUGUAUAAUUGCUUAAGAUUGUUUUUGCAGAGGCAAAAAGGAUAUUUUAUGCGGAAAUUGCAAUGGUGCUGGUUUCGUGGGCGGUUUUAUGAGCACUUUUGAUGAAUAGAACUUGAGCAAGAAGCACCAAAUUUAAGAGUCUAUUGUGAAUAAAUUGCAUUCAAAUGAUAGAUAUGUAUUCUGUAUAUAGAUAUAUGGUCGUGUCUGGAGGUGUAUACAUGGACAUCUUUACAAUUAUGCAAUACGAUUUUACUAUCAGAUCCGGCGGUAAUGAAUAUUCUUUAGCUAAUUAAUUUGAAGUGCCAUUAAGCAGAAGAAGAUUAAUGAUGCUGUACAUCUGAUAUGAGCAGGAUAUGACAAUUUUGGGAAGUACAAUGUCAUCUGCUGAAAAUUUGGAGAUGAUUCUGGCCAAAGCACCCGAGAUGCAGGGGGAAGUCACCUUACAACUUGAUUUUAGGUUCACUAUAAUUUCAUUAUUAGAAAUGUACCUUGCCUGCUAUAUUUUAGAUAGAAGUACAACUUUACGUUUGCGAAUCUGUGCUGACACUGUACAUGUUUUAUUGAUAACAAAAGGCUUAUGAUGACCAUCUAAAAGUUAUGAAUGAACUCACUCAUUUGCUUCUGAAGCAAACGAGUAGCCUUGGAUUCGGGAUGCAGCACAUGAUACACAUGAACCUCUCCUUCAGCUUCCACCAGUUUCACCUCCACUCCCUUCUUCUCCAGAAAGGCUGCAUACAUAACUCCCCUUUCUUUUAAGAAAUCUGAACCAGCCACAUAAACCACAACUGGUGGAUACCUAGACCAUUCAGCCCUGGACAAUUCGGCCUUCUCAAAGUUACACCAAGGAUGGUCACGGUUUGACCCUUCUGGUAAGCUUAGUUUCCACAGCAAGUCAGUCUUUGCCACAUUCUCAGCUUCUCCGCUGGCCCUCUCCUUCUCAGUCCUCUCCUGGCUCCCAAAAAAAGGAUGUAUUGGCAACAACCCUUUAAUCUUGACUUGAUCACAAGAUUGUUCCUGAAUUGUUCUGAGAGCAACAUUGUGAACAAUGUUUCCUCCAGAACUGUCCCCUGAGAGAAACACGCGAGAGAGGUCAGCUCUCUCAAGCCAUGGAUCAGAGCUCGCUUGGCAACUUAGCCACUCAAGUGAACUAUAACAAUCAUCAUAAGCUAUAGGGAGCCUGUUUUCAGGUGCAAGGCGGUAGUCCACAGAAAGAACUAUCGAUUGGGAUGCCACCGCAAAGUCUCCAAGGAAAGUAUGGUGCCCAAGCCAUGUGGUUGAGACUGCACAGAAACCACCACCAUGGAAGUAAACUAGAACUGGAAGGUGGCUGGAGGAGUCCAGAGUAUCAGGCAGAAAUAUCCGUGCAGAUAUUGGCUUGGUUGAGCUAAUGAUUACAUCCUUGGACUUAUAUCCAUUGGAUGAUGAAUCAAUGGAGGCAGGGGCGGUUUCACGUUCAUAACGUUUUACCGAACCAUCAGAAAAAACUUGGAAGUAACCUGGAAAAUCUGCAAUUAAGGACAUUGGUUCUCAAAACUUCGGAAUGGUGAUUUGAAAGUUGAAGAUGUCUGUGAGGUUGCAAAAAGAUUGUUAGGGGAUUUAUAUAGGAUUUUUUGGGAUGAUAUACGUAAGUGAGGAUGUCAUAAAGUGAAUUUGUGGCAUGUUUAGGAGGGAAAAUUUCAGUCAAGACAAAUAAAAUGACAGUUGAUUACGGAAGCGGGAAAAGCAUGUUUAGAAGGGAAAAUUUGACUCAAGCCAAAUAAAAUGACAUAGUUGAUUAUGAAAGCAAGGAAAGACUAGGGGUGAACGCCAAGAAAAUGAGUUAUGGGCUACUGUGGCAAUUCAAUAUGAACACUAGGAAAAUGAAAAGUCAGUCAAUGCAUGCCAAGAAAAAUAUGUUGGUGGCUGGUGCAUAGAAUCCUAAGAAUUCUUCUUCUCCUCAUCCAAUCCAUGAUAAACAGGACUUUCCGGAGCUGUUUGCAGUUUUCAAUAACUAGCCUCCUGUAUGCCACUCUGUCAAAUUGUAUAUAUUGUCCUCUGUACAAAUCAACAAUUCAUUAUUCUCACUUCCCAUCCCUUGGUAGCAUACUAAAAGCCUAAGUUCAGGCACCUCUUCAGGGUGAUAAGGUAAUAUUCUUCAGUUUAUUUAUUCAAGUGUUGCUGUGAAACCUCUAACAUCUUCAGGGGAACUAUGUCCAACAUCACCGUACAACUUGGUUUUAGCUCAAGUGUAAUUCCAGAGAAUUAGCUCCCUAAUUUACGAGAUUCCAUUGAAAAUACCAGGGAUAUAAUUGCCUGAUUUCUUUAAUCAGAUUUGUCUAAUUCAAAGCAUUUUAAUAAACCAUUGUGAAACCCAACACUUCUGCAACUAUAGACAUUGUUCUCAAAACUUUGGUGGGAUGAUUUGAAAGUUGAAGACUUCCGUGAAAUUUCAAAGAGUUUGUGGGAAAGUUCCAUAGGAUCUUUAGGGAUGUCAAGGAAUUAUAACCUUUAUAUGUGUAAAUGAUGACAUUUGGUUGAUCAUGUGAAGUGAACUGAAGGCAUGUUUAGGAGGGAAAUAUUCAAUGAGGGCCUACAAAAUGAAGCAAGGGAAAAUUUCCAUGAAUGCCAAAAAUUUAAUGAAUCUCAAGAAAACAAGUUGGAUUGAUUGAGGAAAUAAGGGAAAAACUAAAUGAACGAAUGCUAAGAAAAAUAAAAGUUCGAUUAAUGUAUGCCUAAAAAAACUAAGUUGGAAAGGCUGAUUGAGAAAAGCCAAUUGGUGACUGAUAGAUAGGAAAAUGGAGAAACAUUAAUUCUUCUUCUCCUCCAGAUUUGCAGUUCUCACUUGCUUGAUAUGGCCUUCUUUUUAUGCUGUGCAGUCAAACUGUUUUCCCCUGUAGGAAUUGACGACCACUUUCCAAUAACCCAUCGGUUAGCAUACUAAAGCCUAAGGAAUGUUUCUGUAAGAAUACGCCUAAACACAUUCUUACCUUGAAGUCUUACACCUCUUCUGUGAAAGUUUCAUCCAAACUGACGAUCUUUCAUGAAAGAAUGGUAUUCAUUCAACCAAAAGAUGAAAGAAUGACCAUUUUAAGUGAAGAAACCUUUCUUAUUGCUGUGCAGGUCAGCACUCACAAUGCAGGGGAAGUUGAGCGAACUCUAUUAAUGUUUUCAUCAGACAAUGCAAAGCUGAAGAAUCACAUCGUCUCUGUGGCUAUGCCGUAUUCUUUACUAUUAAUGCUAAUAUUACAGCAUUAUCUAAUUACUAAUAUAUUUAGAUUUGGAGGAUGUUGACUCGUUAGGACAAAAUAAGCUGUCAAGGCAGUGCAGAAGUGUAAUGGUCCUCAUGUUCUCUUCCAUGGGCAAUUCAAAGCUGGAGAAAUCAGCUCUGUGGUAUGUCAUAUGAUAUAUUUCAUCUGGAAACUGCAGUGCUGCUGGUUUCAUUGGCGGUUUCACGAGCACUUUUGAUGAAUAGAACUUGAGUAUGAAUAUGAAUAAAUUGCGUCAAAAUAAUAGAUAUGUAUUCUAUAUAUGGAAAUGUGGUCAUGUAUGGAGGUGUAUAUAUGAACAUCUUCAAACAAUUGAAGAGGCUCAGUCCAUUGAUGUUGAAUGUUCCACCCUUUUCCAUGCCAAACCUGUGGAUGCACAACCGUUUAUUUAAACUAAUUUCUACAACGAAAUCAUUAGCAGGGUAAUGUUUUUAUAUGAAACUGUAUCUCUAGUUAUUUUUCUUUGUUCAAUAAGCUGCUAUAAUCAUUAAUUUGUGCCACAAUUUCUGAAUUUGGUCUAUGGUAUUCAAUGCUCUUUACAAUUAUGCAAUACAAUUUUACUAUCGUAUCCAGUUGUAAUGAAUACCCUUUAGCUAAUUAAUUUGAAGUGCUGCUAAGCAGUAGAAGAUUAAUGAUUCUGAAAUCCAAUAUGAGCAGGGGAUGAUAAUUUUGGGAAGUAGCAUCAAUUUCAUCUGCUGAAAGCUUGGAGAUGAUUCCUCCAGCACUGUCCCCUGAGAAAAACACACGAGAGAGGUCAGCCCUCUCAAGCCAUGGUUCAGAGCUCGCCUGGCAAUUUAGCCACUCAAGUGAACUAUAACAAUCAUCAUAAGCUAUAGGAAGCCUGUUUUCAGGUGCAAGGCGGUAGUCCACAGAAAGAACUAUUGAUUGGGAUGCCACUGGAAAGUCUCCAAGGAAAGUAUGGUACCCAAGCCAUUUGGUUGAGCCUACAAUGAAACAACCACCAUGGAAGUAAACUAGAACUGGAAGGCGGCAAGUGGAGCCCAGAGUAUCAGACAGAAAUAUCCGUGCAGAUAUAGGCUUGGUAGAGUCAAUGAUCACAUCCUCGGAGUACUUAUAUCCAUUGGAUGAUAAAUCAUUGGAGGUUUCCCAUUCAACACGUUUUACUAAACCAUUGGAAAAGAUUUGAAGGAAACUCAACUAUGGACAUUGUUCUCAAAACUUUGGUGGGAUGAUUCGAAAGUUGAAUAUUUCUGUGAAAUUUCAAAGAGUUUGUGGGAAAGUUGUGUGGGACCUUUAGGGAUGUCAAGGAAUGCUAACCUUUAUAUGUGUAAAUGACGACAUUUGGUCGAUCAUAUAAAGUGAACUCAUGGCGUGUUUAGGAUGGAAAAUUUCCAUGAAUGUAAAAAAAAAAGAGUAAGGUUGAUUGAAAAAAUAAGGGAAAAAUUAAAUGAACGAAUGCUAAGAAAAAUGAAAGUUCGAUUAAUAUUGCAUGCCUAAAAAAACAAAAUUGGAAAGGCUGAUUGAGAAAAGUUUGCUGGUGACUAGUAAAUAGGAAUGGGGAGAAACAGUGAUUUUUCUCCUCCUUUGUAUUUGAAGUUCUCACUUGCUUGAUAUGACCCUCUUCUUAUGUCAUGCCGUCAAAUUGUAUUCCCGGCCCCUUCGUACAAAUUGAUGGCCAUUUUCCAAUAAUCAUUGGUUAGCAUACUAAAUCCUAAGGAAUGUUUUUGUGAUAAGCUUAAACACAUUCUUACCUUGAAGUCACACACCCCUUCUGUGAAAGCUUCAUCCAAACCGACAAUGAAAACAAUGGUAUUUAGUCAACCAAUAUGUGAAAGAACGACCAUUUUAAAGCGAAUGAGCCUUUCUUGUUGCUGAGUACUUCAGUGCUCUCAAUGCAGAGGAAGUUGAGUGAACUCGACUGAUGUCUUCAACAGUCGAUGCAGAGUUGGAGAAUCAUGUUGUCUCUGUGAGUAUGCCUUAUUAUUUACUAUUAAUGAUAAUAUUACAACAUUAUCUAAUUACUAAUAUAUUUGGAUUUGGAGGACAUUGACAUGUUAGGAUAAAAUAAGCUGUCGAGGCAGAGCAGAAGUCUGAUUGUCCUCAAGUUCUCUUCCAUGGGCAAUUCAAAGCUGGAGAAAUCAGCUGUGUGGUAUGUCAUAUUAUUUAUUUCAUGUGGAAACUGCAGGCAGCUGGUUUCAUGGCCGGUUUUAUGAACACUUUUGAUGAAUAGAACUUGAGAAUGGAUAUGAAUAAAGUGCAUUGAAAGGAUAGCUAUGUAUUAUGUAUAUGAAAUAUGAUCAUUCAUGGAGGUAUACAUAUGGACAUCUCCAAAGAAUUGAAUCGGCUCAGUUCCAUUUAGUAGAUGUUGAAUUUUCCACCAUUUUCCAUGCCAAAACCAUGCACACACAACCAUGAAUUUCAUCUGAUGAAUAAUUGGAGAUGACUCUGAGAGCACCUGAAAAACAACUUGGUUUUAGGUUCACGAUAAUUUCAUUACUAGAAAUGCAUUUUGCCUGCUAUACUUUAAAUAAAGUCAUAGAAGUACAACUGUAAGGGGCUUAUGAUGACCAUCUAAAAGCUAUGAAUGAACUCACUCAUUUGCUUUUGAAGCAAACGAGUCGCCUCAGAUUCAGGAUGGAGCAUAUGAUACGCAUGAAUUUCUCCUUCAGAUUCCACCAGCUUCACCUCCACCCCCUUCUUCUCCAGAAAGGCCGCAUACGUGACUUGCCUUUCUUUUGAGAAAUCCAAACCAGCCACAUAAACCACAGCUGGUGGAAACCGAGACCAUUCAGCCCUGGACAAUUCUGCCAUCGCAAAGUUACACCCAGAAUAGUCGCAGUUUGACCCUUCUGGCAAGCUUAGUUUCCAAAACAAGUCAAGCCAUGUCAAAACCUCAGCUUCUCCUCCGCUGGCCCUCUCCUUCUCGGUCCUCUCCUCGCUCCCAAAAAAGGGAUGUAUUAUCAACAACCCUUUAAUCUUUACUUGAUCACAAGAUUGUUCCUGAAUUGUUCUGAGAGCAACAUUGUGAACGAUGUUUCCUCCAGCACUGUCCCCUGAGAGAAACACUCGAGAGAGGUCAGCUCUCUCAAGCCAUGGUUCAGAGCUCACUUGGCGACUUAGCCACUCAAGUGAACUAUAACAAUCAUCAUAAGCUAUAGGGAGCCUGUUUUCGGGUGCAAGGCGGUAGUCCACCGAAAGAACUAUUGAUUGGGAUGCCACCGCAAGGUCUCCAAGGAAAGUAUGGUACCCAAGCCAUGUGGUUGAGCCUACGCAGAAACCUCCACCAUGGAAGUAAACUAUAACUGGAAGGAGGCUAGAGGAGCCCAGAAUAUCAGGCAGAAAGAUCCUUGCAGAUGUAGGCUUUGUUGAGUUAAUGAUCACAUCCUUGGACUUAUAUCCAUUGGAUGAUGAACCAUUGGAGGCAGGGGAAGUUUGCUGUUGAAGUCGUUUAACGGAGCCAUCAGAAAGGAGUUGGAGGUAACCUGGAAUUUCUGCAACUACGGACAUUGUUCUCAAAAGUCAAAACUUUGGUAAGGUGAGUUUGAGGAUGUUGGAUUGAUCACAUAACGUGAGUUUGAGGCAUAUUUAAGAGGGAAAACUUCAGUCAAGACAUAGAAAAUGACGAAGUUGGUCAUGAGCAAGGAUUGAAAAAUCGGGGAAAUAUCGGAUAUCGGGCGGCACCGAAGCGAAAUAUCCGUGAAGCACCGAUAAAUUCGCGAGUGGAUCUGACGCGCGGAGCAACCGGGGGAGAAUUUCAAAAAAUCGCCGAAAAUAUCGCCGAAAUUUCGGUAUUUUUACCGAUUUUUCGGAAAAUUUCCCGAUAUUUCCUACCAGUCCAGCCCGCGCACAGGAUACAAAAUCUGGCUCAAAAAUCGUGGAUUUAGGGUUCAUGAAAUUUAAAUCCAAUGGCACAACAGCAAAGAGACCCUUAAAACAGAUCCAGAAAACACAGGAAGCAAAAGAAAAGCAAAUUUUUUGGUUUUCUUUGGGGGUUUUGAAUGGAUUUUCUCGGAAAUCAAACGAGGAUGAAUUUCCCCGGAAAUCGAAUGGGGGAUGGAUUUUCUUGGGAAUCAAACGGGAGUUGCAAAAAAAAUAAUAUCAACGUGAUUAGAUUAGUACCUGCGAGGAUUGAGAGUGGCAGAGGAAAAUAGGUCUUUUUUAGGAAUUCUCUCGGCCGGAGGGCAACUUCAGAAAAGGGGAAUUCUCUCGGCUGGAGGGCAACUUCAGAAGUGGGUGGCCCUUUUAAUUUUUAGAUUUAGUAAGGUAAAAAAAAAAUAAAAUAAAAAAAAUUCAUGAGAACAAUUUUCAUCUAUCCAUAUAAAUAAUUAUAAAUUAUUGAAUUUUAUUUUGAUUAUUAAAUAAAUUAAUAUUAAUAAAAAAAGUUGUUAAUAUAAAAUUUUAAAAAUUAAAUCUCAAAUAAAAUAUUUUAUAUAAAUUAAUUUAAUUUUCAUUUAAAAUAUAAUAAAACAUGUUUUAAUAAAUGUAUGUAAAAUUUUUUUAAAUAAAUAUUAUUUUUAACAAGUUGGGUCCUCUUCAUCUAACAAUAUAAUGAAACCACAUCGAUUUCUUCCUUAGUAUAAGGACUAUUACAAUCUCAUAUGUAUUAUAUUUAUGUAUAAAUUGUUUUUAUUCAAUAAAUCAAAUAUUUUUUAACUGAAUUCUAACUUUAUACACUUUCAAAAUUCAUAUAUAUUAUUUUUAAAAUUUAAUUAUCGAAUCUACCAAUAUAUCUUUGUUUACGAUAUUUUUCUUCUUAAUUAUAUAUAUGUCAAUUAUAUUUACAAGAUAAUUUUAAAAUAUAUAUUUUUACUUAUUUUAUUAUUUUUUUGAAGUUUUUUCAAGCAUUUUUAUUAAUUUUAAAUAAUUUUCACUUAUCGAUAUUUGUGAAAAAAUAUCCAUCGAUAUUUUUAUGAUAUUUUCGAUAUAUUCUUAAAAUCGAAGUACCGAUAUAUCCGUAAAAAUCGAUAUUUUAAUCCUUGGCCACGAGAGCAUGCCAAGACAAAAAAAAAUGACGAUUAGGAAAGCAAGACAAAAUUUCAGUCAAAGGCACAUAAAAUUAUAACAUAGUUAAUUAUGCAAACAAGGGAAAAGUUGGAGUGAAUGGUGAAUGCCAAGAAAAUGACCUCGGGGCUGUGGGGAAAUUUAAACGGAUCAUAUUUGCACGAUUUCCCAACUGUCAGAAAAACAAUUUUUUUUCUUUUAUCUUUCAUUUAAUCUCGGGAAAAGUGAGUUUCCAUGUGCUCAUUAAUAUUUUUUGUUCUAUUCACUUAGAGAAAUAUUUAUUGUUUAAUCAGACAUUACCUUUUAAUAAGUAUUUUUUUUUCUUUUAUAUAUAUAUAUAUAUAUAUUAUCUUAAAGUUUGCCUUUAAUAUAAUAUACCUUCAAAUAUUUUCAAAAAAUUGAUUUGGAUUAAUAGUAAGAAACACUUUGAUUAUAGAUAUGAAAGAAUAAAUUGAAUAUUAUGAUGUUAAUUAAAUUUUAAAUCACGAUGGGGAGUUACAAAUUUCAAACCACGUUAUGAAAAAUCAUGAGAAGAAAAAAAAGUCUUAGAGAGAAAAACAAAAAGAUAAACCUUUGACUGUAGAUUAUAAUAAAAUUUAAGAUGACUCUUUCAAGAAAUUUAUUCUUUUGGUUUUUUUUUGGAUUUUUGAAGAUAUAUGUUAAUAAUAAGAUCUUUUUCUAGAUUAGAUGUUAAAAAAAGAGGAAGAAAUUCUUGUUGUCCAUUUAAUAAGUAAAGGGUUACAGAGUAAGAAAAUAAAAAAAAAAUUAAUUGUUGUAUGUACCUAUUAAUUUAUCCCUCGACAAAAACGGGGUCUCCAUGUGAGAGUUUUAUUAUUAUUUGGAAAAAAUUUAUAUACAAUACAAUUCUAAAAUAAAGAUAAGUAUUUAGUUUAAAGGAAAAUUCUAUAGAUUUAAGAAAUAAGAUUUUGAAGAAAAAUAUAAAGAUAAAUAAAUAAUAAAAUUCAUUUUAGUUGUUAAUAUAGUGCAAAAUGGAGAAAAUAGGAAAAAUAAAAUAUGCAAGUAGAGAAAAAAAUUAUUAAUAAGGAUAAUUGAAAAAAUAUAUAUUGAUUUAGCACUCACUAUAAUGUAUGAAGAAAGAAAAUAAUAAAUUCUUAAAUUUAAAUUUAAUUAUUAUAGGGAUAAAUUAGUAGCAUGUGAUAUAAAAUUUAUAUUAUGUUAAAAUAUGUUUCUAUUAAUAAGAUUUUUUUUUGUUUAAGUGAAUCUUAAGUUUAAUCAACUUAUUUAAUGAAUUUAUUUUUUACUAGAGGAAAAUAUUUUAUCAUAAAAAGAAUAUUUAUAUUGUAAAAAAUAUCACGUCUAUUAUAUAUUCUAAUAUUUGUCCUAGUUAACCGUCAGUAUGUUGUUCACCCUUAUUGUCUAAAAAACCUAGUCAACGGGUAGUGACCCACCCUCGUUGCCUAAUUUUAUGAUGAUUUGAAAACCUAUUCGUGGGGUAAUCAUCGAUCAGAUGGUACCAUCUGAUUGGCUAGUCCCUUCUAAAUAGAAGGGUCAUCUGUUUUUGUGCUGCUAGUUUAGGAAAAUAAAUUUGUUUAUACUUUGCAUGCAUGGUUGAAGCUAAUAUUAUAUGCUAUGUUACUUUUUUUUUUAUAUAUAAAAGAAAUUGUUAGUAUUUUCCUUAUUGAGUUAAAGCUUAUCAUCUUUAUUUUUAAAAACCUCUUUUAGGUAUGAGUAAGGGAUAAGAAGAGUUUCUUGUUAAUUUAAUUUAUGUUUAGCUUUAAAGCUUUUGUUUAGAUAUAUUGAUUUGGAUCAUGUGCUAUGUUUUAAUUAUCAAGUUAAUUUGAAUAGAAUUAGUAUUUCAUAAUUAUGCGAAUAAUGAAAUAUCUAUCUUGUAAAGAUACUUUUAACUCUAUGAACUCAUUCUUAAUGAGAAUCUACAACAUUUUUUCUGUUUUAUUAUUUAGCCGUUUUUAGAUUGGGGGGGGGGGGGGGGGGGGGGGGGGGGUUUUUUUUCUUUUUUCCCCCUUUUCCCCUUUCCCCCCCCUUUUUUUUUUUUUUUUCCAUGGGCCCCCCCCGGGUGGGGGGGGUGGGGGAGGGGAAAAGGGGAAUAAGAGGGGGGGCCGUUUUGGGGGGGCCCAAAAAGUUUGGGGGGGGGGCCAAGGGGAAAAAAAGGGGCAGGCCCUCCAGGGGGGGAAAAGGGGGAAUUUUUUUUUUUUUAAGGGGGGGGGAAAAGGGGGGGGGGUUCCCCUUUUNNNNNNNNNNNNNNNNNNNNNNNNNNNNNNNNNNNNNNNNNNNNNNNNNNNNNNNNNNNNNNNNNNNNNNNNNNNNNNNNNNNNNNNNNNNNNNNNNGGGGGGGGGGGGGAGGGCUGUUUUUUUUCCUUUUCUCCCGUUUUCCUCUUUCCUCCUCAUUUUUUUUUCUUUCUUCUAUUGGCCACCCCGAGGUUGAGCGGCUUGGGGACGGCUAGAUGGGACUGAUGAGGUGGGCCGUUCUUGGGCAGCCCAAAGAGCUUGAGGUGAUGGCCUAGGGAGACAGAAGGGGCAAGCGCUGCAAGUGGGUGACAGGGGGAUAUUUUCGUUUUCUAGAGGGGGGGGAAACAGGGGAGGAGUUCGCCAUUCUGAACCAGGUAGAGGAAGUUGGUCUGGAGCUAAGGAAACUCCUGUUUGAGAGAAGCAUUGCCCGGUAGGAUUAUUUGGAUUCAUCGUUCAUUAUAUCAUCAUAUUUUUCUCAUUUAUUUUCCAUGUGAUUAUUUCUGCGUUGUUUGUGAGUUUGCCUUGACUUGGUAUUGUAGUUUCAUCCCAUUUUUCUCUAUUUUUGUUCAUGGAUGAUCUAACUGUGCUUCAAUUGUUUGUUUCAUAUUGGGAAAUCUUCUUAUCUCUUAUUUUAUAUAUAUAUAUACAUACAUGCAUUUCUCCUGGUUUAGUCCACCCGUUUUUGAGCCCAUGAAAAAAAAAACAAAAACUUCGUGAGGUGAAGGCUGGGCUUUGAUGAAAGGAAAAAGAAGCAGCAGCUCAACUUAGCUUAGCUUAGCUCUGCUCAGUCCCCUCUGUUGCUAUUCCCAGUUUCUCUCGUCCAUUUCUCUCCGUUGUCCUUGUUCUUUUGUAGUUUGAGAUCUGAAAAUUGAGAAGGACGAGGCGAUUUGAUGACGAUGGUUCGAUUUUCUUAGCUAUGUUUCCAAGGGUACAUCAACUUUUUAGAGUGUGUUGGAUCUGGGGAUUGGAGGAAAAUGUUUUGGCUGAGCUGAACGGAAUUCUUCACACAUCUCUCUCUUUUGGUUGGUGUGAUUGAAUAUUUAUGCAUAGAAUUUUUUUUUGAUGUUGACACAUGGUUGAAUAUUAUAGAAUUUGUAAUGCGAGCGCCCGUUCGAUCUCUCGGAUACUGGUGCAGCUACAGUUGUUUCAGACUUGGAAAUCUACAUAAAAACGUUGAUAAUGGUGAGAUGCCUCUGUUUUUAAAAGCCUAUCGACUUUAAUAAACCACUUGAUGUUGCUUGACCGAUUUCGUUAUGCUACUGUAAAUGUAUUCUUGGAGUUCAUGAGGAGUUCUAUUUAUGAUAUGGUGGGAAUGAAAAUAUCCCACUAAAGAUAUCAACUCAGAGGCACAAUUAAAAUAAGGCUUCACCAGUUCUCAUAAUGCAAUUGGUCAUUUUCCAACUAAACCUAUCACUUUUGCACCAGGGCCACACGUUGCAUGGCCAUUUCAGCAUGCAAUCUAUCAUCAUCACUCAUCAUUUUAUUUAUUUAUUUUUUAAAUUUUCUCCUUUAAAUAAUUCUUCAAAAUUCCUAUUUCCAAAUUUAAUUUUCAAUCUAAAAAAUUUCACUAUUCACGUUUCAUUCGUUUAAACAUUAUUUUUGUUAUUAUUAUUAUUAUUCCAUAUUUAUUUAUUUAUUUCUUUUAAAAAUUCAAAUUAUUAAGUUUCAAUUCUUCAAAAGUUUAACUUCCGAAUUUAAUUUUCGAUCUAAAAAAUUUCAUUAUUCACGUUCAUUCUUUUAAACAUUAUUUUUGUUAUUAUUAUUAUUAUUUCAUAUUUGUUUAUUUAUUUAUUUUAAAAAUUCAAAUCAUUAAAGUUCAAUUCUUCAAAAAUCUGACUUUCAAAUUUAAUUUUCGAUCUCAAAAAUUCUACUAUUCACGUUUAUUCAUUUAAAUAUCAUUUUUUUAUUCCAUAUUUAUUUAUUUAUUUCUUUUAAAAAUUCCAAUCAUUAAAGUUCAAUUUUUCAAAAAUCUGACUUUCGAAUUUAAUUUUAAAUUUAAAAAAUUCCACUAUUCACAUUCAUUCGUUUAAAUAUUAUUUUUGUUAUUAUUAUUCCAUAUCUAUUUAUUUAUUUAUUUUAAAAAUUCAAAUCAUUUUAAAGUUUAAUUCUUAAAAAAUCUGACUUCCGAAUUUAAUUUUCGAAAUAAAAAAUUCCACUAUUCACGUUUAUUCGUUUAAAUAUUAUUAUUAUUUUUUAUUAUUAUUCCAUAUUUGUGUAUUUAUUUAUUUUAAAAAUUCAAAUCAUUAAAGUUCAAUUCUUCAAAAAUUUGACUUCCGAAUUUAAUUUUCGAUCUAAAAAAUUCCACUAUUCACGUUUAUUCGUUUAAAUAUUAUUAUUUUUAUUAUUAUUCCAUAUUUAUUUAUUUAUUUCUUUUAAAAAUUCCAAACAUUAAAGUUCAAUUCUUUAAAAAUCUGACUUUCGAAUUUAAUUUUAAAUCUCAAAAAUUCCAUUAUUCACGUUCAUUCGUUUAAAUAUUAUUUUUGUUAUUAUUAUUAUUAUUCCAUAUUUAUUUAUUUACUUAUUUCUUUUAAAAAUUCCAAUCAUUAAAGUUCAAUUAUUCAAAAAUUUGACUUUUGAAUUUAAUUUUCAAUCUAAAAAUUUUUACUAUUCACGUUCAUUCGUUUAAACAUUAUUUUUGUUAUUAUUAUUAUUAUUCCAAUUUUUUAUUUUUAUUUUAAAAAUUCAAAUCAUUAAAGUUCAAUUCUUCAAAAAUCUAACUUCUAAAUUUAAUUUUCAAUCUAAAAAAAUUCCGCUAUUCACGUUCAUUCAUUUAAACAUUAUUUUUGUUAUUAUUAUUAUUAUUCCAUAUUCAUUUAUUUAUUUCUUUUAAAAAUUCCAAUCAUUAAAGUUCAAUUCUUAAAAAAUCUGACUUCCGAAUUUAAUUUUCAAUCUCAAAAAGUCCACUAUUCACUUUCCGUUCGUUUAAAUAUUAUUUUGGUCAUUAUUAUUAUUAUUUCAUAUUUAUUUAUUUAUUUAUUUUAAAAAUUCCAAUUAUUAAAGUUCAACUCAUCAAAAAUCUGACUUUCAUAUCUAAUUUCCAAUCUCUAAAUUCAAUUUCAAAUUUCUAAAAUUCUAACUUUCGCAAUUAUUUAUUCAACCGUUAUUAUUUUCGUUAUUCUAUUCAUUUAUUUAUUCAUUUGUUCGUUUAUUUAAAAUCUCAUCUCUAAAUAAUCCUUCGAAUUUCCAAUCUCUAAAUUCAAUUUCCAAUUUCUAAAAUUCUAACUUUCGCAAUUAUUUAUCCAAUCGUUAUUAUUUUCGUUAUUCUAUUCAUUUAUUUAUUCAUUUGUUCGUUUAUUUAAAAUCCCAUCUCUAAAUAAUCCUUUGAAUUUCCAAUCUCUAAAUUCAAUUUCCAAUUUCUAAAAUUCUAACUUUCGCAAUUAUUUAUCCAAUCGUUAUUAUUUUCGUUAUUCUAUUAAUUUAUUUAUUCACUUAUUCAUAUAUUUAAAAUCCCAUCUCUAAAUAAUCCUUCGAAUUUCCAAUCUCUAAAUUCAAUUUCCCAUUUCUAAAAUUCUGAUUUUCGCAAUUAUUUAUCCAAUAGUUAUUAUUUUCUUUAUUCUAUUCAUUUAUUUAUUAAUUUGUUCGUUUAUUUAAAAUCCCAUCUCUAAAUAAUCCUUCGAAUUUCCAAUUUCUAAAUUCAAUUUCCAAUUUCUAAAAUUCUAACUUUCACAAUUAUUUAUCAAAUCGUUAUUAUUUUCGUUAUUCUAUUUAUUUAUUUGUUUGUUUAUUUAAAAUUCUAUCUUUAAAUAAUUCUUUAAAUUUCCAAUCCCUAAAUUUGAUUUCCAAUUUCCAAAAUUCUAACUUUCGCAAUUAUUUAUCCAAUCCUUAUUAUUUCGUCAUUAUUAUUAUUUCAUUCAUUUAUUUGUUCACUCAUUCAUUUAUUUAAAAUUCUGUCUUUAAAUAAUUCUUUAAAAUUUCGAUUUCCAAAUUUAGUUAUCUGAAAUUCCAAUUUUCCUAUCUUCGAACUCAAUUCUCGCAUUUAUUCAGUUACUCAUUUAUUAUUAUCAUUAUCAUUUUAUUCAUUCAUUUCUAAAAAUUCCGUCUUCGAAUGAUUUUCGAGAUUUCCAAUUUUUAUAAUUCAAUUUUCAUAGUUUCUACUUCUCAAAUAAUUUUCAAUUCUGAUUUCUUUCAAAAUUUAAUUUCCAAAGUCCUAAUUUUCGUAAUUUAAUUUUUUGAAAAAAAUCCCAAUCUCUCAAAUAACUUUCAAAAUUUCAAUUUCUUUCAAAUUUAACUUCUUAAAUUCUCAUUCUUACAUUUAAUUUCUAAAAAUCCAAUUUUUAAAUAAUAUCUAAAACUCCAAUUUUCAAAUAAAUUUCAAAAAUCCAGUUUUUCCUCGAACAAUUUUAAUUUCUAUUUGGUAACGCAUAUGAUAUGUUUUGUGCUCUUUAUUGUACACUGACCCCAUUUUUAUGAUAGCGCAUUGCUCGUUCGUGGCCUAGGUAUGCAUCCACUCCCAUUCUAGUCAUUCUCUAUGCAUGUUUUGAUUCUUAUAUGUGCAUGAUCGAUUUGAGUAUCCAUUGAUUUUCCUAUUGAUUGUUACGUCAACUUCAUUUUAUUAGCAGAGACCCGACUUUAGGGACUUGGAGGGGUGCUACGGUCUUUAUCGUACCUUCCCGAUAAGUAACCUUACCUUCGAGCCCGAUCCGGUUUUUCACAGACCACCUUUUUCAAAAUAAGGAGUCACACUUAGGGUUUUCUUUCUUAUUUUGUUUACCCUUUUAAAAAUAAAACAAAAAUAAGUAGCGACUCCAAGUCUUUUUCUAAAAAUCAAAUUUUCACUAAACAAAAUAAAAAUCGAGCUCGCCAUCGAGUGGGAACGCAUCGAGCAAAAUACAGGGUCCACAGCUAGAUAUGUGAAAUUAACAAAAUUGACCCUAGCCUACUUAGGACAUAGGGUGAUAGGUAUCAAUAUUUUUAUCGAUUUUUCAUUGAUAAUUCGAUAUGUAUCAAUAUUUUUAUCAAUUUUUUGAGAAUUUAGCUGGUUAAAAUUUCUUUCAAAAUAUACUAGUUGUGUAAUUAACAUGACAUCAUCCAUUCUGCUCCUCCCUAAUCCAUUCUGCUCAAUUACAUUAGUAGAAAAUGAGUUUCACUUAGAAAUUUUGAACAGAAUUACAACUUGGUAUUUGCUGCAAAGCCCAAAUCUAUGCUGAGAGGAUACAUGCCUCAUAGCUAACUAGAAGAGAAGCCGAUGACUCGUGGAUGGCCAUAUGAGAGGCUAAAAACUGUGUAUGAACUCACUCAUUUGCUUUUGCAGCAAGCGAGUGGCCUCAUAUUUUGGAUGGAACAUAUGAUACACAUGCUGCUCUCCUUAAGCUUCCACCAGCUAAUUAAUUUGAAGUGUCCUUAAAUAGGGGUGUAACUUGGACAGACCAAUGUUUGGACAAAUUUAGGUAAACAUUUUUAUUACUUGAGUUGAGCUUGAGCUAAGUUUUUUCACGCAACCGAUACCACAUCCUCGGUUGCGUGAUGGCCAUCUAAGAUGCUAGAAGCUGUGGAUGAACUCACUCAUUUGCUUUUGAAGAAGAUGGGUAGCCUCAGAUUGAGGAUGGUACACAUGAUACACAUGUGACUGAUCUUCAGCUUCCACCAGCUUCACCUCCACCCCUUUCUUCUCCAAAAAACCUGCAUACAUAACUCCCCUUUCUUUCAAGAAAUCCAAACCAGCCACAUAUACUACCACUGCUGGAAAACGACCCCAUUCAGCACUGGAAAUUGCAGCCCUUUCAAAGUUACACCCAGAAUAGUCCCGGUUUGAUCCUUGGGGCAAGCUUAGUUUCCAUAACAAAUCGUUCAUCGCAACAUAUCCAGCUGCUUCACCUUCCCUCUCCUUCUCAGUCCUCUCCUCACUCCCAAAAUAAGGAUGUACGGGCAACAAUCCUCUAAUCUUUACAUGAUCAUAAGUUUUUUCCUGAAUUACUUUGAGAGCAACAUUGUGAGCAAUGUUCCCUCCAGCACUAUCCCCUGAGAGAAACACACGAGAGAGGUCGGCUCUCUCAAGCCAUGGUUCAGAGCUGACUUGGUUACUUAGCCACUCAAGUGAACUAUAACAAUCAUCAUAAGCUAUAGGGAGCCUGUUUUCAGGCGCAAGGCGGUAGUCCACAGAAAGAACUAUAGUUUGUGAGGCAACUGCUAAAUCCCCAAGGAAAGUAUGGUACCCAAGCCAUGUGGUUGAGCCAAUGCAGAAGCCACCACCAUGGAAGUAAACUAGAACAGGAAGGUGGCUAGAGGAGCCUGGAGUAUCAGGCAGAAACAUUCUGCCAGAGAUUGACUUGGUUGAGUCAAUCAUCACAUCCUUGGACUUGUAUCCAUGGGAUGAUGACUCAUUUGAGACAGGGGAGAUUUCAGGUUCAAAGCGUUUUACUAAACCAUUGGAAAGGACUUGAAGGAAACUCGGCACUUCUGCAACUAUGGACAUUGCCAAAACUUUGGUAGGAUAAUUUGAAAGUUGAAGAUUUCUGAGAAAUUUCAGAGAGUUUGUGGGAAAGUCACAUAGGAUCUUUAGGGAUGUCAAUGAAUGCUAACCUUUAUAUUAUGUAAAAGAUGACGUUUGGUUGAUCAUGUAAAGCGAACUUAAGGCACAUUUAGGAGUAAAAAAUUCAAUGAGGGCCUACAAAAUAAAGUAGGUUGAUUGUGAAGCAAGGGAAAAUUUCCAUGAAUGUCAAGAAAAUGAGUUAGGUUGAUUGAAAAAAGAAGGGAAAAAUUAAAUGAAGGAAUGCAAAGAAAAAUGGUAGUUCACUUAAUUCAUGCCAAAAAAACAAGGUGGGAAAGUCCGAUUGAGAAAAGUUUGUUGGUGACUGGUAGAUAGGAAUAGGGAGAAACAGUGAUUCUUUGUCUCCUCUGUAUUUUCAGUUCUUGCUUGAUAUGCCCUCUUGUAUGCCGUGGAAUCAAUGGUAUUCCCCCCGGUACUAAUACAUCUGGAUUUGGAUGACAUCGACUCUGUACUGAUAGUCCUCAAGUUCUCUUCCAUGGGCAAUUCAAAGCUGGAGAUCGAAACUGGUUCUGCAGCAUUCAUGUAGAAAUCGCAGUGCUGCUGGCUUCAUGGGUGGUUUUAUGAGGACUUCUGAUGAAUAGAACUUGAGUGUGUAGGGCCAAAUAUUAUCGGUCUGUUGGCUACAGAGUGCCUCAGAUGAUAUUUGUGUAUGUGUAUAUGAACAUAUCCACAGAAAUUGAUUAGGCACAGGACCAUAUCAUUAAUACAAGUUUUACAGUUAACUAAUAUAUCUCCAGUUCUGUAAUUUGUCCCCCUUUAAUGAGAUACUUUCAUAGACUUGUACAUAAUCUCUGAAUUGGUCUAUCAUGUUGGAUUCUCUUUAUUUAAUUCAAUUGUAUAGGAAGUUGUUUUGAAGACUCUUACAUUUCCAAAAGAACUACUCUCUAAGCAGUAAGAGGUCAGUGACUCUGCUCACUGCAAUUUGAGUGUGAACCAAAUUCAGGCUAGAGCACCAAAAAACAACUUUUAUUGUGAUCACAUUACUAGAACAUGAGUGUCACUUAGAAAUUUUGAGCAGAAUUACAACUUGGUAUUUGCUGCAAAUCCCAAAUCUAUGCUGACAGGAUGCAUGCCUAAUAGCUAACUAGAAGAGAAGCUGAUGAAUCGACCAUGGCAAAAUGAGAGGCUAUAAGCUGUGUAUGAACUCACUCAUUUGCUUCUGCAGCAAGCGAGUAGCCUCGGAUUUUGGAUGGAACACAUGAUACACAUGCUGCUCUCCUUCAGCUUCCACCAGCUUCACAUCCACCCCUUUCUUCUCUAAAAAGCCUGCAUACAUAACUCCUCUUUCUUUGCAGAAAUCCAAGCUGGCCACAUAAACCACCACUGCCGGAAACCGACCCCAUUCAUCCCUGGACAGCUCUGCCUUCUCAAAAUUACACCCAAAAUAAUCACGGUUUGAUCCUUCUGGCAAGCUUAGUUUCCAGAUCAAGUCAGUCAACCCCACAUCCUUGGCUGAUUCACUUGCCUUUUCCUUAUCAAUCCUCUCCUCACUCCCAAAAUAUGGAUGUAUGGGCAACACCCCUUUAAUCUUUACCUCAUCACAACCCUUUUGAAUGGCCCUGAUAGCAAUAUUGUGCGCAAUGUUCCCUCCGGCGCUGUCCCCUGACAGAAACACACGAGAGAGGUCAGCUCUCUGAAGCCAUGGUUCAGAGCUCACCUGCUUACUUAGCCACUCUAGUGAGCAAUAACAAUCAUCAUAAGCUGUAGGGAGCCUGUGUUCAGGAGCAAGGCGGUAGUCCACAGAGAGGACUAUUGAUUGGGCGGCCACGGCAAAGUCUCCAAGGAAAGUGUGGUAGCCAAGCCAUGUGGCUGUGCCGAUGCAGAAACCGCCGCCAUGGAAGUAAACUAGAACUGGCAGGAGGCUAGAGGAAGCCGGAGUAUCAGGGACAAAAAUCCUCCCAGAAAUUGGUUUUGUUGAGUCAAUUAUCACAUCCUUGGACUUGUAUCCUGUGGAUGAUGAAUCUUCUGAGGCAGGGGAGGUUUCACGUUCAGGGCGUUUUACUGAACCAUCAGAGAAGAUUUGAAUGACGCCUGGCUCUUCUGCAACCAUGGACAUGGUUAUCAAAACCUUUUUAGUUGGGAUGAUCUGAAAGUGGCAAAUUUCUGUGAAAUUGCAGAGAGUUUUCUGAUGCUGUUAGAUAGGAUUGUUGUGGAUGACAAUAAUGCCGUGAAAAUUUUGGAGAAGUCUAAGAACAUUAGAGAGGUUGAUUGCACGCAAAAGCCAAUGAAUACAAACAAAAUCUGUGGAUCGAUGGAUAAGAGAAAAUAAAAUGGACUGGUGGGUGGGUGGGAAUAGGAAGGAAAGUCCAAGAAAAUUACAGAGGUUGAUGGCACACAAAGGGCGGCCGGUCUGAGGUCUUGUCUUUAUUAUCUUCAUCCGGAAAUUUUUUAAAUACGGUGUUAUUUUAAAUUAUACUCAUUUUUUUUAAUUUAAUAAAAAAAAUUAUUACGCAAAAAUACUUUGAAUCAAACCAUCUUGAUAUAAUUUUUUUUAUUUUUAAAAAUAAUUUAAAAUUUAAAAACUAAUUUAAUUAAUACUAAAUAGUUAUGAAAUUCAAUAAUAUUAAAAAGUUAUACAUUAAAUUCAUAAUUUUCCUUUUAUAUAUAAUCAUAUUUUUGUAAGUUUUUUUCACUAAGAAAACAAAUUCAAAAUCAAGUAAUGCAUAAUGUGUUGAAUUUACUAAUUAGUUUAAUGAUUUUUUAAAAAUAACUUAAAACUUAAAUGAUAAUCUAAUCAAUAUCGAAAAUUUGUGGACAAAAUUUGAUUCAAAAUGACUUUAUUAUUUUUUUAUAUAUAUAAUUUUUUUUUUGGAGUUUUUUCAAUUAACAAGACACAUACAAUUUUUUUUAAAAAUUAUUUAAAACCCCAAUUAAUAUCAUAAAUUUAUAAAUAAAAAUUAGUGUAUAAUAACUCUAUUAUUUUUUCUAUGUAGAAAUAUAUUUUUAUAAAAUUUCUCAUUUUCUCAUUAGAAAAAGGAACUUUAAAUCUAGUGAUAUUUUAUAUUGAAUUUAUUAAUGAGUUUAAUAAUUUUUAAAAAUAAUUUGGAAUUUAAACAAUGUUAAAAAGUUAAAACGUUAACCUUUGUUUAUUUUUUAAUUCAUUUUAAAUAAGAUGUUAACAUCUUAAUUCAUUUUUGUUCAUUUGUUCAUAUUAAUUAUUAUUAUUAUUUAUUUAAAAAAACCAAAAAGGAAUUAUAAUAUUAGAAAGAUGUUAAUAUCAGAAAAUAUAUUAAAAUAGGCUUUUUAUAUAAAAAGAAAUAUAAUAUCUGAUUUUAGUACAAUAUUACUAUUUAUUACUAAAAAUGAUUUAUUUUUUAAUAUAUUUGUAAUUACAAUUUUUUUUUCAUUUUAAUAAGAUUUAAAUUAAAUUUAAUAAAUAUAAUAUAAAUUAAAUUUUCGCUUUUGUGUUGAAACCCCACUUUGAAAAUGCAAUUUCGAUAUAAAAUCUAAAAUCAAAUAUUUUAAAUGCAACUUCAAUUCAAAAUUAGAAGCUAUGGGUUUGUUUGACAACAUUUUCCGAAAACAUUUUUUUAUUUUUCAAAACAAAAAAUUUUAAAAACAUGUUUUACAAAAAAGAAAACUGUUUUUUUAUUUUUUAUUCUCAAUAACAGAAAAUAUGAUAUUUUCAUAUAAUAUCAUUUAUUUGUUUUUAGUUAUUUUCACUUUUUUUUUAAGAGUUAUUUUAAAAAUACUAUAUAAACAUAUAUAAUGAUUAAAAAUAAAGUUAUGAACAUAAAAUUAUUUUUAAAACACAUUUAAAAAUAUUAAAAAUAUAUUAAAAACAUUUUAAAUUAGCUAAUAAACUUUUGUGAUACAAAACAUUAAAGAACAAUUUUCAAAAACUGUUCUUAAAAAAUAUUUUUUUAAACUGUUUUAAAAAACAUUUAACAAACAGAGUACAUAUUUUGAAAUUCAACUUCAAUGCAAAAUCAGAAAAUUAAUUAUACUCUUAAUAAAUAAUAAAUUUAAUUUAUUUUAAAAUAUCUCAAAACUAUUUCUUAUUCAUUUAAAAAAACAAAAAGGAAUUAUACUCUUACAAAGAUGUUAAUAUUCAUAAAAUAUAUUAAAAUAGGUUUUUUUAUAUAAAAAGAAAUAUAAUUUCUGAUUUUAGUAUAAUAUUACUAUUUAUUACUAAAAAUUAUUUAUUUUUUAAUACAUUUGUAAUUAAUUUUUUUUUCAUUUUAAUAAGACUUAAAUUAAAUUUAAUAAAUAUAAUACAAAUUAAAUUUGCAAUGUUUUUAUGAAAAUGAAAAUAAAAAAACUAUUUUUUGAAAAGCAAAAUACCUCAAAACAUAAGUAUAAUAUUUUCUUUUUCUUUUCACUUAGAGAAAUAUUUAUAGUUUUAUUAACUUUUAAGUUAAAAGAGAAGAAAAUCUUUAUUUGGAAAUCUCUUUUAAUUAAAAAAAAAAAAAAGGAAUUUCUCUCAGUUUGCCAGAAUAAAAUUUCUUUUGAAAUAUACUAGUUGUGUAAUCAACAUGACAUCAUCCAUUCUGCUCAAUUACAUUACUUGAAAAUGAGUUCCACUGAGAAAUUUUGAACAGAAAUACAACUUGGUAUUUGCUGCAGAUCCCAAAUCUAUGCUGACAGGAUACAUGUCUCAUAGCUAACUAGAAGAGAAGCCGAUGAAUCGUGGAUGGCCAUAUGAGAGGCUAAAAGCUGUGUAUGAACUCACUCGUUUGCUUUUGCAGCAAGCGAGUGGCCUCAGAUUUUGGAUGGAACAUAUGAUACACAUGCUGCUCUCCUUCAGCUUCCACCAGCUAAAUUAUUUGAGGUGCUGUUACCCGUGAAGCAGUAGAAGAUUAAUGGUGAUGUACAUCCCAAAUGAGCAGGAUAUGACAAUUUUGGAAAGCAGAUGAUGAAAAUUUGGCGAUGAUUCUGGGCAGAGCACCCGAGAUGCAGUGGGGAGUCACCUUACAACUUAGAUUUUAGGAUCGCUAUAAUUUCAUUAUUAGAAAUGCAUUUUGCUUGCUAUAUUUUAGAUAGAAGUACAACUUUAUGCAUACUCGUCAUGCUGACAGCAUACGUGUUUUAUUGAUCGCAAGAGGCUUGUGAUGACCAUCUAAAAGUUAUGAAUGAACUCACUCAUUUGCUUCUGAAGCAAACGAGUCGCCUCAGAUUCAGGAUGGAGCAUAUGAUACACAUGCUUCUCUCCUUCGGCUUCCACCAGCUUCACCUCCACCCCGUUCUUCUCCAGAAAGGCUGCAUACAUAACUCCCCUUUCUUUUAAGAAAUCCAAACCAGCCACAUAAACCACAGCUGGUGGAAACCGACACCAUUCAGCCCUGGACAAUUCUGCCAUCUCAUAGUUACACCAAUAAUGGUCUCGGUUUGACCCUUCUGGCAAGCUUACUUUCCACAUCCAGUCGGUUAAUGCCAAAUUCUCAGCUUCUCCACUGGCCCUCUCCUUCUCAAUCCUCUCCUCGCUCCCAAAAAAAGGAUGUAUUAGCAACAACCCUUUAAUCUUGACUUGAUCACAAGAUUGUUCCUGAAUUGUUCUGAGAGCAACAUUGUGAACGAUGUUUCCUCCAGCACUGUCCCCUGAGAGAAACACUCGAGAGAGGUCAGCUCUCUGAAGCCAUGGUUCAGAGCUCACCUGGCAACUUAGCCACUCAAGUGAACUAUAACAAUCAUCAUAAGCUAUAGGGAGCCUGUUUUCAGGUGCAUGUCGGUAGUCCACAGAAAGAACUAUUGAUUGGGAAGCCACCGCAAAGUCUCCAAGGAAAGUAUGGUACCCAAGCCAUGUCGUUGAGCCUAAACAGAAACCGCCACCAUGGAAGUAAACUAGAACUGGAAGCCGGUCAGAGGAGCCCGGAACAUCAGGCAGAAAUAUUCGUGCAGAUAUUGGCUUGGUUGAGUUAAUGAUUACAUCCUUGGACUUAUAUCCAUUGGAUGAUGAAUCAUUGGAGGCAGGGGCGCUUUCCCAUUCCACACGUUUUAUUGAACCAUCAGAAAAAACUUUGAAGUAAGCUGAUGCUUCUCCAAUAAAGGACAUUGUUCUCAAAGCUUUGGAAGGGUGAUUUGAAGGUUGAAGAUGUCUGUGAAGUUGCAAAACGUUUGUUAGGGUAGUUAUAUAGGGUUUUGGGGAUGUCAAGGAAGACUAACAUUUAUUCACGCAACCGAGGAUGUUGGAUUGGUCACUAAAAGUGAAUUUGCAGCAUGGAGGAAAUUUUCAGUCAGGACAAAUAAAUUGGCAUAGUUGACAAUGAAAGCAAGGAAAAAGUUGGAGUGAAUGCCAACAAAAUGAGUUAUGGGCGGCUAAGACAAUUAACACCAGCAAAAUGAAAAUCCAAUUGGUGCAGCCCAAGAAAAAUAUGAUGGUCUUCUUCUCCCUGUCCAAUCAAGACAAGAAUUAACUCCCUAAUUUUUUACAUUUGAUUGAAAAUACCGGAGAUAUAUUCUCUGAUUCCUUCAAUCAAAUUUGUCUACAAGGUUCAAGGCGUUAUACUAAACCAUUGGAAAAGAUUUGCAGGAAACCGACACUUCAGCAACUAUGAGCAUUGUUCUCAAAACUUUGGUGGGAUGAUUGAAAAGUCCAAGAUUUCUGUGGAAUUUCAAAGAGUUUGUGGGAAAGUUCUAUAGGAUCUUUAGGGAUGUCAAGGAAUGCUAACAACAUAUUUAAAUGACGACAUUGGGUUGAUCAUGUCAAGUGAAAUCAAGGCAUGUUUAGGAGAGGUGGGGGGGCGGCAAAAAUUUAAGGAAUGUCAGGAAAACAAGUUAGAUUGAUUGACGAAAUGAGGGAGAAACCAAAGGCUCAUUUGGCCAUGUUUUCUAAAACUUGUUUUUAAGUUAAAUAACAAAAAACAAUUUUCAGAAAACAUAGUCAAUUUAAAAAACAAGUGAAAAUAACUUCUACUUGUUCUCUAUUUCACUUUGUUUUUAAAAAUUAUUUUAAGAGAACAACAACCAAAUAAAGUUAAGAAUUUUUUAAAAAUAUUUUUAAAUCAUAUGGUCAAAUAUCCAAAUGAACAAAUGCUGGGAAAAAUGAAAGUUUAAUUAAUGUAUGCCUAAAAGAACUAAGUUGGAAAGGCUGAUUGAGAAAAGUCAGUUGGUGGCUGGUGGAUAGGAAUAGGGAGAAACAGUGAUCAACUUCUCCUCGUCUAAUAUUCAUCUAGAGGGAAAAUUUCAGUCAAGACAGAGAAAGUGAGAAAGAUGGUUAUGAAAGCAAGGGAAGUUUUAUGUGAAGAAAAAGAAAAUGACAGUUGAUUUGGAAAGGGAGGGAAAAUUUUAGUCAAGGCAAAUAAAAUACCAAGAAAAUGAGUAAUGGACUGUGGGGAAAUUUAAGAAGAACAAUAUUUGCACCAAUUCCUAAAUUUUACUUGCUAUUUAGAAAUAUGAGUACAGCUUUAUAUUUUCUGAUCUUCACUGAAAGCAUACAUGUUUUAUUGAUAAGAAGGGGCCUGUGAUGGCCAUCUAAGAUGCUAGAAGCUGUGGAUGAACUCACUCAUUUGCUUUUGCAGAAGAUGGGUAGCCUCAGAUUGAGGAUGGUACACAUGAUACACAUGUGACUGAUCUUCAGCUUCCACCAGCUUCACCUCCACCCCUUUCUUCUCCAAAAAACCUGCAUACAUAACUCCCCUUUCUUUCAAGAAAUCCAAACCAGCCACAUAUACUACCACUGCUGGAAAACGACCCCAUUCAGCACUGGAAAUUGCAGCCCUUUCAAAGUUACACCCAGAAUAGUCCCGGUUUGAUCCUUGGGGCAAGCUUAGUUUCCAUAACAAAUCGUUCAUCGCAACAUAUCCAGCUGCUUCACCUUCCCUCUCCUUCUCAGUCCUCUCCUCACUCCCAAAAUAAGGAUGUACGGGCAACAAUCCUCUAAUCUUUACAUGAUCAUAAGUUUUUUCCUGAAUUACUUUGAGAGCAACAUUGUGAGCAAUGUUCCCUCCAGCACUAUCCCCUGAGAGAAACACACGACAGAGGUCGGCUCUCUCAAGCCAUGGUUCAGAGCUGACUUGGUUACUUAGCCACUCAAGUGAACUAAAACAAUCAUCAUAAGCUAUAGGGAGCCUGUUUUCAGGCGCAAGGCGGUAGUCCACAGAAAGAACUAUAGUUUGUGAGGCCACUGCUAAGUCCCCUAGGAAAGUAUGGUACCCAAGCCAUGCGGUUGAGCCAAUGCAGAAGCCACCACCAUGGAAGUAAACUAGAACAGGA
rnacentral:lncRNA from 1 species